CUACUAACAUGCUCAUCAAGAACUUGAUCAAAAAAUUCAUCAAGCUGUUUAGCCACUCUCUUUGCCCUACCAUACAUUCCAUUAACGCUUCCCAACCAAUCAAGCCAAGGUAUGUAGUCCCCUAUAACUGAAGCACCCAACAGCUCCAUCAUCUCAUCCAUUGGCUCCCGAAGCUUACUCCCUCCUUCUCCACUGUAUCUCCUUCCGAGAGCAGCUCUACACACUAUGUCAUUUGCGACUGUAGUAAAUAAAUCAGUUAAAUUCACAGGCAUCGAAGAAGAACAACACUGCUUAAUCUUAUCCAUCAUUGCGGAGAUUUCCUCUUCUCUCACUACACCAAAGGAUUGAACCUUUUUUGCACUGAGAAGAUGCAAGACAGAAAUACUCCUUAUCUGCCUCCAGUAGUUGCCAUAUGGAGCAGUUGCCACAUCUUUGGAAUCAUACAACAAGAUAUCGAACAUCUUACGAUGUGGUCUGUUGGAAAAAACAAGGUCGUGUGUUUUCAUAACCUCACGAGCUGCCUCAGCUGUGGAAACCACAAGAACUGGCACCCUUCCAAAGUGAAGUAACAUUAAAGGGCCAUAGGUUUGAGCAAAGGAUUGGAGAUUGCGAUGAGUGAGGGCGCCAAGUUGGUGGAGAUUUCCUAUUAUUGGAAGCUUUGGAGGAGAUGGUGGUGAGAUUUUUUUGCUCCUUGCAGAAUUGAAAUUGUGAUUACAUUUGGAUAAAAGAUUGAUGAGAGUAGGUAAAAAGAAGAUGAUUAAGGUAGCGAUUGGGAGGAAAAACCAGCAUGAAGAGUUUUCAUGCAGAGAAGUGAACAUUGUGUCGUGUGUUUUCUUUAAUUUGCUGUAUAAUUAAUUAGCAAUGCAGAACGAGGUAUUUAUAAUGUUUGUAAGCUAGGUGUAUUUGUAUACGUUUCUUAGAUUUUUUUUUUUUUCAAAUACAGUACGUAUGUAGUUUCCGUUCCAAGAUAUAUUUAGAGAUUACGUGAAUGAUUUGAAAGUAGGAAAAUGAUACCUCUUAACACCACAGUUCAUUAAAUAUAUAUCUAACUAACAACUAAUUUUUUAAUAAAAUAUUAUAUAAUAAAAAAAUAAUAAUCAUAUAUGAAUGUAGUAGAAUGGUUCUAGAUAGUUAAAAGCUCUUAAAUUCAAUUUUGCUAGAACUCUGUUUUUUAUUCUUUUUUUUAGUAAUAUCUUUUGCAACAAUAUCUAUUCAAUCCUUUUUUUUUUCUCAAUUGUUUUAGUUUAUAUAAUCAUAAUCUUUUCCAUUUAUUCGAUGUUCUAUAAUUUCCUGACCAGAAAGUAAAACAUAAAUACUUAUUAAGUUUAAUUUUCUUGACAUGUUUGAAGAACUAGAAAAAGAAAAAGAAUUAGAGAACAAUGGCAAUAAAUAGAUAAAGGUAAAACUUCCAACCAUUUGCCACUAAAUUAACAAUACAAGUUUCUUUAAUAAUAUAUACAAGUUGUUUCGUUUGUUCAAAAGCCCUAAAUAUUGGAACCAAGACUUUUCUAUAAUUGCAAAGUUUACUAAAAUCACAAUGAUUGUAAAUUUUAUCUACGAUUCAUUUGACCACAUAAUAAGAUACGUGUUACUUCUUGCAAACCUCCACUUUAUCAUUUUGUAUUGUUUUGCUGAUAAAAAAAAAUAAAAAUCAUUUUGUAUUGUUUUUAAGCUUUGACUAUGCUAUGCAUGAACUUUCAGCUAUUCAGCCUAAUCAUCUUAUGAUAGUGAUCUGAUUUGAUAUUAUAAAUGUCAACGAGCCAAUUUUUUUCUCCAAAAUAAAUUAUUUCACUGACUUUUAAACUUAAAACUGAAAAAUUGUUUAUAAAGAUUAUAAUCAAAUUCUAUUUAUAAUUUUUCACAUGUCUAAUAGAAAGAUGCCUUUUAAACUCAUCAUCUAAAUUUAAUUGAAAUUUUGUUCUCGAACAGGUUUUGAUUAAAAGAAUUAUUACCUUUCUCUUUGGUUGGUCGGUCGUUUUCUACUUCUUCCCUUCACUGAAUGUCUUCCUUCUCUUCUUCAUUGUCCCCUUCCUUGUAAAUUUCAAGUCCGGAUGGUAAGUACAAAAGGCACUCCAAUAUUUCAGUGAGAUCUUAGUAUUCGGUGUUCGGUGUAAUUAAUGCGUGAUGAUGACGUACCUUUUUAUCGAAAUCUAUGACUAUUUAUAUGAUUAUCAUGGGUCUUUUGUUAUUGGGUCGGAUUAGGGUUUUGAAUCAUAAUUAAGAGUGUAUUACCUAAUGCUUAAUCGCUGUUUGAUCUUGUUCAUCUUCUGUUUGUCUUAAUGAAUCUGAUCGUGUCGGUCGGCUCUAGUCGGAUGUUGAGACCUCCAUCUAUCAUUCGGAUCCAAUCGGUACAACUUUUGUUACAAAUUAAAUACACUAAAAGAAAAUGAUUAAAUAAAAUCAAUUUUUGAGACAAAAUAUAAUUAGUUGCUAUAUUGAUUAAAUUAGAUAUUAUUUUAGAGAUUAAAAAAAUUAUUGAUAUCUAAAUUUGUUUUUAUUAUUGAUAAAUAGUUUCUAAAUUGGUAUCUACACUACAAUAAAAAAUUGUUUUAACAGAGGUUUAAUUUUACAUUACCAAAGGUUAAAACCUUCGUUAAGUCAUUUAUCCUAGGUUGCAGUUCCUACGCUAAAUCAUCUAUGGGGAACGUGUUACCUGGGGUGUUUUAAAACCCCUAAAAAAAUCAGUAUUAACCUUAGUUAAAUACAAUUGGUUUAAGAACCUCCAUAAAAUACCAUGGGUUUGAGAACCUCCGUAAAUACCAUGGGUUUCAUAGCCUCUUUAAAAUAUUAUGGGUUUCACAACCUUUAUAAAAUACUAUGGGUUUUAAAACCUUCGUAAAAUAGUAAAAGUUUCAGAACCUCCGUAAAAUAUCAUGAGUUUUAAAACCUCUAUAAAAUAUCAUAGGUUUCACAACUAUAAACAUUCAUGUGCUUUAUGUAUUUUUUGAAUCAUUUAUCAUUUAAGCAUUUACGUGCUUUUUAACCAAAAUUAAUAAUUUUUUCGUGCAAUACUUGUUCCAAUUCUCACAACCUCUAAACUAAUAUGAGUUUCAGAACUUCCUUAAAAUAGCAUAGGUUUCACAACUAUAAAUAUUCAUGUACUUCCUGUGUUUUUUUUACUUAUUUAUCAUUUAAACAUUCAAGUGUUUUUUUAACCAAAAUUAAUUACAUUUAUUGUAUUUAUUUAUGUUUUAAAGUACUUUCUUAAUGACAUUAAAAUGUUUUAAGUUAUAAAAAAAUAUUUUUUAUCCACUUAUAUUAUUAUUUCGUGCAAUUCUUGUUCCAAUUUUUACGACCUUUAUAAAAUAAUAUAUAUUUAAAAAUCUUUGUAAAAUAUCACAUUAUUUUAAAACUUCAUAAAAUAUCAUAACUUUCAAAACUAUAAUAAUUCAUGUGCUUAUGUGUUUUGUUUAUCAUUUAAACAUAUACGUGUAACCAAAAUUAAUUUUAUUUAUUUAUUUAUCUUUUAUAAAGUACUUUUUAAUGACAAUAAAAUAUCAUAAUUUAUAAUAAAUAUUUUCUUAUCAACUUGAAUUAUUCUUUCGUACAUGUUCCAAUUUUCACAACCUCUCAGAUAGUACAAGUCAACAUUGUAUUGUAUUGUGUGUAUCUUUAAUUUGCUGUAUAAUUAAUUAGUAAUGCAGAAUGAGGCAUUUAUAAGCAUUGGAAGUCAUCAGUAUUUGUAAGCUAGGUGUAUUUUUGUAUACGUUUCUUAGAUUUUUGUUUUCAAAUACAGACGUAUGUAGUUUCUGUUCCAAGAUAUUUAGAGAUUACGUGAAUGAUUUCAAAAUAGAAAAACAAUACCUCUUUAAUACCACACUUCAUUACAUAUAUAUAUAUAUAUAUAUAUAUAUAUAAUAACUUAUUUUAAUUAAUAUAUAAUAAUAAAUAAUAAUCAUAUGAUUUUAGUAGAAUGGUUCUAGAUAGUAAAAAGCUCUUAAAUUCAAUUUUGCUAGAACUCUGUUNNNNNNNNNNNNNNNNNNNNNNNNNNNNNNNNNNNNNNNNNNNNNNNNNNNNNNNNNNNNNNNNNNNNNNNNNNNNNNNNNNNNNNNNNNNNNNNNNNNNGUAAAACUUCCAACCAUUUGCCAUUAAAUUAACAAUACAAGUUUUAUUAAAUUUUUUUUAAAAAAAAUUAAAAUAAAUUUAGUGGGACACUUUAAGGAUGUUCCAACCCUUUUACAAAUCCAUUAAGCAUCUAGCUUAGAUGCUUAAUAAACAUAUACCACGAACAAAUCAGGUUCAGGUGCAUAGAAGCCCCUGUGAACAACUAACAAUAUCUAAGUUUCUAGACGUAGCACAAAACAGGGACCCAGGCAUCAACACAGCAGCUUAAAAGCACCCCCUUAAGACAAAAAAUCAUGCUAAAUUAUGGAUUCUAAUUGUUGUUUGCACGGUCCUAAACAAGAACACGAAGUAGCAAGUUUGCAAAGUCAAACCAGUAAUUGCCACCUCAACCAACUCCUUGCACACAACUCCUAUUUCAGGUCACGUUACCCAUCCACUUACAGAUGCUUAGUCUAGCAUAAAGUGCAUACCAAGUGCUCACCAGAAAAAUCUUAGAAGAGCCAAAUAACCUGAUAUAACACAACACGGUAUCUUCAUUGCUCCUUCACGGCUUUGGACAUACCUUGAUGGAGAUCAAGUAGAAGAGGAUUUCACUAAUGGAGGAAGGCCUUCCACCCAAGCAUUUAAAGUUCUUCCUUCUAGUUUUCUCAAAAAUAAAGAAGAAAUUAAAUAAAGAGAGGACCAAACUUAAAAGAAGACUACAAGCAUUCAAAAAUGGGCUCCAAUUAAUAUCUCUCUUUGUAAUUUUCUUUUGUAUAAAAUUGUAAAACAUAUAGGAGUAGUGUUUAGGAAGGUGCUAAGAGGGAAACCAAAAGACACCUCCUUUGUAUAACACUUUAGACGCUAGUUUUGGUAGAAAGAGACUAGAAAAGUGCCUUUUCACACUCCUUCUCUCUUUAGGCGCUAGAUUGUCCUAGAAGGAAUUAGAAGGUGACCUUUCAAGCUUCCUUCUCUUUUGUAAAUUUGUGACUAGCCCUCUCUAUUAUAAAAGGGGUGCUUGGGUCUUUGAAAUAAGAAGUUAAGAUUGAUUUUUGAGAGUAAAGAACCUCUACCAAAUUGGUGAGUGAUUGAGAGAGACUUGUGUCUUCUUCUCUUCUAGUCUUAUCUUGAGUGAAUUCUUGGGCUCUCAAGUGACGGCAACAACACUCAUCUUGAAGCCAACCAUUUUUCAAGUGGCGUGCACAAUUCCAAGAGCUCCAACCACAUAAGUUUCCUUGUCCUUUUCAUCUUCUUCUUCCAUUUCCAUUCAAAAAACAAACUCUAAAACAUGUCUUUGUUGUUUCUUGUUGAUUCAAUCGAUAGAACUUGUUUAGUUUGUGUUCAUGUUCUGUAGAUUGUCUUAGUUUGCUGUUCUUAUGGUUUUAAGUGUGUUUCUUGAAGUUUUAAUCGGUGCAUUUGUGUUCUUCUUUGUUACAUUCGGUUCAUAUGUCCAAAAACGGGUUUCUAUGUGAGUUUGGCUUGGUUCUUGUGAUUUGGUGAGUUCUUGAAUGAUUAAGAAGAUUGAUCCAAUUCUUAAAAAGUGCCUAAUCAUAUUCCAACUCUUAUUGAAUCCAUAACAUGUUCAUAUCAUAUCCCAAUCAUGUUCUUUGGUUCACAUCAUGUGGUAUCACAUCAUGUGGUAUCAUGAGUCUUAGGUGUGUUCUUGUGUGUUAGAGUUGUUUUUUGACACUUUUAAUUCAAGAAAUUUACAUUAGCAUUCUGUUUUUACUGUUUCUUUGGUAUUUCUUGUUGUUUUCUUGUUCUUAAUACAUUGUGUUUGUGUCAUUUUGAUUUUUGAGUCUCUAUAAGUUUUGUCAAAGUCAUGUUUCUCCAAAAAUGUUAUCAAUUCUAUGUAGUCCUUUUGUUGAUAAUUUUGGUUUCUUGAUUUUUUAUUGAGUGCAGUUUUAUGUGUUUUUUUCUUGAUCCUUUGGUGCCUUUUCUUUUUAUAUUUGAGUUCUUACUUGUAUUUUAGAUCUAUACAAGUUCUUGAAACAUCAAUUCUAUUAUGUCUUUUGAAGUUCUCAAUUCUGUUUUUCAUUCCAAUUAGGUUUCCUCUGUUUUCUUGAAAAUGUGCUGACUGUUUCGAUUUAUUACAAUUUCUGUGAUUACUAGAAAAUUCUGAAAUUCUGGAUUUGAGUUUUUGAGAGUGUUAUAAAAUAGUAGAAAAAAGAAGUCAGUCAAAAUUCCAAGUACAAAAAAAUGAUAAAUCAAAUAUGUCCAGUGUGUAAUUCUGGCACAAAAAAAUACGGUAAAGUGGCAGUAAUUUUGCAAAAUUUAUCACAAUUAAUUGGCGCAAUAUUUUGUGUGAUUCCAGUGCCAUUGUUGAGAUAAGAUCUUCAACUUUCAUUGGUUUAAAUUUUCAGCUCCAGUUAAAUCUGUAAAGUCACGCACAGUUUACAUAAAAUUCCAGUAGUUCUGUUUUUUUUUGUUUUCUUCAUCUAUUCUAGUGCUUUUCUUUAGGUUUCUUUUGAGUGCCAUCUUUUAAUUGAGUAUCUUUUUUUUUUAUUGUCUUUUCUUCACUAUUCUUUGAGUUUGUCAUAUAUCUUGUAUUCCUUUUGCUAUAGCCUUUUCUUGUUUACACCUUUUCUUGAUUGUCUUUUAUUGUUCUUUAAGUUUUGUGGUGUAUUGGCCUUAAGAGAGAGUACUUUGCUUUGACAUUUUUCAUUUGAGAGUACCAAAACUUCAACAACAGAUUGGUUGAGGGAAGUAUUCUUUCUUGGAGUAAUUUCAGUGUCUUUUAAUUUUCAUUACAGUACCAUAACUGUUCCUUUUUCUAACCUUGUUUUUCUUGAAAUUGUUUGUUCUUGUGUUUGCUGUUUUCUUUUUCUAAUGAUUGCAUAUUCAAGUGGUGACUCUUCCAAACCACACUCUCCUCAUAGAGCUUAUAUUCUUAAUGAAUUAAAAGAGGCAAAAUGUGUCCUUGCUCUAAAGGACGAAGCUAUGAAAAAGUUGGAGGAAAAAUUACAAAAAGUUGGAUUGAAGCAAGAUAGGUCAUCUGCUUCCAUCCAUGGAAGCCACCAUUCUCAUAGACAUUCUUCAAGAGGUUCUUUCAAUGCUCACGACCAUGAAGAAGAACAUAGAAGGAGGAGACAUCACCAUCAUUCUCAUGGAGAUAGACAUCACCGUGAAGAAGGACAUCACCAUGAAGAAGUCUCAUUUAUCUUUUGUAAAAAUACCUAGCUUUAGUGGUAAUAGUGAUCCUAAUGUGUAUUUAGAUUGGGAAGCUAAGGUUGACCAUAUUUUUCAUGUGUAUAAGGUCCAAGAUGACCAAAAACUUAGGACAGUUUCUUUACACUUUUUGGACUAUGCCAAAGAAUGGUGGCAUCAAACUCUUAGGGACAUUGGUUAUAACAAGAGGCCUCUCGUGGUCUCUUGGAAUGAUUUGAAAAAGUGUAUGCGCGCGAGGUUUGUUCCUCCUUCUAGGAAGGAACACUUGUUGAAGUUCCAAAGGCUUCCUCAAGGACAUAGGACGGUAGAUGAAUACUUUAAAUCUUUUGAAACAACUUUGACUAAAAUGAAUAUGCAUGCUAAUGAAGAGUCAAAGAUAAAAUGGUUUGUAAGUGGUUUGAAAAGAGAUAUUAGAGAAUUUGUAGAAUUAAAUGAGUAAUCUUCUUUAAAGAAAGUGGUUCGCCUAGCCAUCAAGGUGGAAUCAUACCUUUUAAAAACAACUUUCAAACAUACUCAUGAUGAUGGUUUCUACAAAUCUUCAAAGAAGGAUGAAAACAUACUUUUGCCUAAACCUUCUCCUUCAAAUUUUUCAAACGCUACCUUUUCUAACCAACAAGUUUCUACAAAGAAUUCUUCUACAUCUCCUAAGUCACCUAUCAAACUUCAAAAAUAAAAUGUUUUAAAUGUUUAGGUUUUGGGCACAUAGCUCUUCACUGUCCACAAAAACGAACCUUAAUGAUAAACAAGGUAAAACAAGACCUAACUCAACCACCUACCAAAAGUGAAAAUGAAAAAGACAGAAAGGGCCAAGUUGACAUAGGUCUUAUCCUUUCACCUCCAAGGUGUUUUCCUUCCUUAUCUUUUUUAUUACCAAAGGUUCUAACUUCACCACCAUCUUGGUUAAAGAAUGUUAGGAAUGAUUUUUUCAUACCUCCUAAUGGUUUUCACCAUUUAAGAGGACUUUUUCCAAAAAAUAUCAUCAUUCCCAAACAAUUUUUUCCAACUUUGUUUGUCUAUAGGACCUCCUUUUUUGAACUCCCACCGUUUACAAAUUCUAAGUCAUGUUUGCCUUUCUCUUAUUCAACUGUUAAUUUUUAUAGUAAACUGACUUUGUUAUAUGCAGGGAUUCAGAAUUCGUGGACGAAUUCUCUCCAACUCGGGGAGUAUGAUGGAGAUCAAGUAGAAGAGGAUUUCACUAAUGGAGGAAGAGGCCAUCCACCCACUUCUAGUCUUCUCAAAAAUAAAUAAGAAAUUAAAUAAAGAGAGGACCAAGCCUAAAAGAAGACUACAAGCAUUCAAAAAUGGGCUCCAAUAAAUAUCUCUCUUUGUAAUUUUCUUUUGUAUAAAAUUGUAAAACAUAUAGGAGUAGUGUUUAGAAAGGUGCUAAGAGGGAAACCAAAAGACACCUCUUUUGUAUAGCACUUUAGGCGCUAGUUUUGGUAGAAAGAGACUAGAAGAGUGCCUUUUCACACUCCUUCUCUCUUUAGGCGCUAGAUUGUCUUAGAAGGAAUUAGAAGGUGACCUUUCAAGCUUCCUUCUCUUUUGUACAUUUGUGACCAGCCCUCUCUAUUAUAAAAGGGGUGCUUGGGUCUUUUGAAAUAAGAAGUUAGUAAAGAACCUCUACCAAAUUGGUAAGUGAUUAAGAGAGACUUGUGUCUUCUUCUCUUCAAUUAUCUUGAGUGAAUUCUUGGGCUCUCAAGUGGCGACAACAACACUCAUCUUGAAGCCAACCAUCCUUCAAGUGGCGUGCACAAUUCCAAGAGCUCCAACCACAUAAGUUUUCUUUGUCCUUUUCAUCUUCUUCUUCCAUUUUCAUUCAAAAACCAAACUCUAAAACAUUUAUUUGUUGUUUCUUGUUGAUUCAAUCGGUAGAACUUGUUUAGUUUGUGUUCAUGUUUGGUAAAUUGUCUUAGUUUGCUGUUCUUAUGGUUUUAAUUGUGUUUCUUGAAGUUUUAAUCGGUGCAUUUGUGUUCUUCUUUGUUACAUUCGGUUCAUAUGUCCAAAAACGGGUUUCUAUGUGAGUUUGGCUUGGUUCUUGUGAUUUGGUGAGUUCUUGAAUGAUUAAGAAGAUUGAUCCAAUUCUUAAAAAGUGCCUAAUCAUAUUCCAACUCUUAUUGAAUCCAUAACAUGUUCAUAUCAUAUCCCUAUCAUGUUCUUGGGUUCACAUCACACCUGCUACUCUUCAACCUGUAUUACACACAUAUUCUCCCAGCAUGUACCUAAUCAUAUUCCAACUCUUAUUGAAUCCAUAACAUGUUCAUAUCAUAUCCCUAUCAUGUUCUUGGAUUCACAUCACACCUGCUACUCUUCAACCUGUAUUACACACAUAUUCUCCCAGCAUGUACCUUACCCUGUUUUUGUGUAUGCCUUUGAAAAUAGGCACUCUCACCCUGUCCAGCCUUUCCCUGCACCAAACCAGCAUCCCAGAUGUUCCUGAACCAUCAAGGCCUCCCAGACUUGGCCACCGAACCAGUAUAGAUGCUCCAGUAACCAACAAGCCUGCUUUACGUUCUUACUUUUCCAAACUCCAUAGUUCCACCCACCAGCCAAUUCCCAUCCAGCACAUGUUCCUUCAGCAUACCAGAAAAAGAGAAUAUAUUACAACACCCUCAACUUCAGCAGCUUUGCAAGCACUUGCCAGGAUUGAGAAUCCAAUCCGAGAAAGCAUAACUAAAGGAGGAUUGCCCCAUACUUCAGCUUCAGCCACACUGAGAGUUGGGCUAGGUGGAAAAUUUCUUCAGCAUCGGCUAUCCCUUUCUUAAAGAUAGCCAAAUUUCUCUGAUCCCAUAUACACCGGACUAUAGCGACCCAAAUUCCCUUCCAUACCUGAUUCUGUUUAGCAUUAAAAUGAGGCAGAUAAAAACUCUCAAAAUGGUCAAAAAUGUCCUUAUGUUGGACAAACAAGAUGCCUAUCCAUCUUAAGCAUAGGGACCAAACACGUUGUGCAUAAAUACAAUCCAGAAAAAGAUGUUGGGUUGUUUCUUGUGCUACCUUACAGAGCGCACAUAGAGAAGAGUUUACAACCAAACCCCUCCGAAUAAGAUUAUCAUAAGUUGGAAGUCUGCCAAGCAAAAUCCUCCAUGCAGUAAAUAACGCUUUUGGGUGUCGCUUUAGCUUGCCACCAAAGGGAGAAAAUGUCAUGCGAGGAGUUAUUAAGUUGACUACACAAAGUCAAAUAUGCAGAUUUCAUAGAGAACACACCAUUAUGGUCCCCAUUCCAUACUAAAGCAUCCUUGAUUUCCUUACACAAACUCUUCCCUGUAAUGAGAUUGAGCAAUUCUCCCUCCAUAGAGCUUUCCCAAUUGAAUCUAGGCCUUCUCCACCUUAAACGGCAGUUCCAUCCUAAAUCCUCCCAAGUGCCUACUUCAGCCACCGUCUUUCCUUGGUCCAAAGAAACGGAAAACAGCCUAGGGAACAGAGUUAUAAGCUUGUUAUUCUCCAACCAAACGUCUUCCCAAAAUUUGACUUUGUCACUGACUCCGACCUUCCAUCCAAAGGAUUUAUGGAACCAUCCAUCGCCUUCUCCCUUAUCACAUGCCCUAGAUAGAUCUCUCCACCACCAAGAAAGAUAGUUACCAGAAUCUUGACUUCUUACUCCACUCGUACAAUACUUAGAUGCUAGAAUCUCUUUCCAUUUCCCUUUUUCCUCACUCAACAUCCUCCAUUUCCAUUUUGUUAGCAAGGCACAGUUAAACAUUUUAAUAUCCUUGACCUUUAAACCCCCUUCCUCCUUUGAUUUACACACAUUUUCCCACCGAAUCCAAGAUAUAUGUUUGUGAUCAUUACCCCAUGCCCAAAGGAACAUCCUCUGAAUGCUAGAAAUUUUAUUAAACACUGAUAUCGAGGCUUUAAAGAAGGACAAAUAAAACAGGGGUAUGGAAGUUAAGACCGAUUUAACCAAACAUACUCUACCUGCUAGUGACAAGCAUUUCCCCUUCCAAGCACUAAGUCUAGCUUUAACUUUAUCCACUACUGGAUCCCAAAACUGCAUCCUCCUUGGGUUGCCGCCUACUUGUAACCCCAGGUAUUUAAAAGGAAUCUGCAUUGCGCUACAAUUAAGAGCUCUUGCAUAAGUUCCUAACAAAUUCCUUCCAACCUUAAUACCUGACAGCUUUGACUUAUGGAAGUUAACUUUGAGACCUGAAGCCAACUCAAAAACCCUGAGAAUCGCCUUAAUUGUUAAGAUGUUGGAGUAAGAGUCUUCGCACAUAAACAGGGUGUCAUCAACAAACUGUAACAUACAACAUUCAAUCUCAGCUCUCCCCACUUUCACUCCUCUUAAUAGGUUCUCCUUUAAAGCGCUACGUACUAGACCAGCUAGACCUUCAACAACAACAAGGAAAAGAAAAGGAGCCAUAGGAUCGCCUUACCUCAGACCCCUGGAUGACCUAAAUUCCUCCAUCGGACUACCGUUAACCAAGACAGACAUUGUUGUCGACUUCAAACAGCCUUGUACCCACUUAAUCCAUUUCAUGUGAAACCUCAUCCUAUGCAACAUAUCCAACAGAAAACUCCACCUGACCGAAUCAUACGCCUUUUCAAAGUCCACCUUAAAAAACACUUCACUUUUCUGACUUCUUUGUACCUCCUCGAUCACCUCAUUGGUCAUCAAUACACUUUCCAACAUUCCCCUAUCUUUCAGAAAAGCUGAUUGAUUUUCAUCAAUAACCAGAAGUAGAACAACCUUAAUACGACACAACAUCGCCUUAGUAAUGAUCUUAUACAGGGCUCCCAUAAGAGAAAUGGGUCUGAACUGGUCAAUCACAAUAGGGUCUUUUACCUUCGGAACAAAAGUAAUAAAAGACGCAUUGCACCCCUUCGGAAAGCUCCCUGAUUCAUGAAAAGAAUGCACCGCUUCCAUAAUAUCCUUCUUUAAAGUCUCCAAAUUGCUUUUUAUGAAGUUGAAAUAAAAACCAUCUGGACCCGGCCUCUUAGAUCCCUCACACUACCACACUGCGUCCCUUACUUCCUCCUCAGAAAACACAUGGGUUUCACAACCUUCGUAAAAUACUAUGGGUUUUAAAACCUUCGUAAAAUAGUAUAAGUUUCAAAACCUCCGUAAAAUAUCAUGGGUUUUAAAACCUCCAUAAAAUAUCAUAGGUUUCACAACUAUAAAUAUUCAUAUGUAUUUUUUGAAUCAUUUAUCAUUUAAGAAUUCACGUACUUUUUUAACCAAAAUUAAUUAUUGUUUCGUGCAAUACUUGUUCCAAUUUUCACAACCUCUAAGCUAAUAUAAGUUUCAGAACCUCCGUAAAAUAGCAUAGGUUUCACAACUAUAAACAUUCAUGUGCUUCAUGUGUUUUUUUACUUAUUUAUCAUUUAAGCAUUCAAGUGCUUUUUUAACCAAAAUUAAUUAUAUUUAUUGUUUUUAUUUAUUUUUCAUAAAGUACUUUCUUAAUGACAGUAAAAUGUUUUAAGUUAUAAAAAAAUAAUUUUUUAUCAACUUAAAUUAUUGUUUCUUAAUGACAGUAAAAUGUUUUAAGUUAUAAAAAAAUAUUUUUUUAUCAACUUAAAUUAUUGUUUCGUGUUUGUUCCAAUUUUCACGGCCUUAGUAAAAUAAUAUAUAUUUAAAAAUUUCUGUAAAAUAUCACAUUAUUUUAAAAUCUUCAUAAAAUAUCAUAAGUUUCACAACUAUAAUCAUGCAUUCAUGUGCUUAUGUGUUUUGUUUAUCAUUUAAAUAUAUAUAUAUAUAUAUAUUAAUCAAAAUUAAUUAUAUUUAUUUAUUUAUUUUUUUAAAGUAUUUUUUAAUGACAAUAAAAUAACUUAAUUUAUAAUAAAUAUUUUUUAUCAACUUGAAUUAUUGUUUGGUAUAAUACUUAAAUACUUGUUCCAAUUUUACAACCUCCCUGAAAUAAUAUAAGUUUGUGUUGUGUGUUAUCUUUAAUUUGCUGUAUAAUUAAUUAACAAUGCAGAAUGAGGCAUUUAUAAGCGUUGGAAGUCAUCAGUAUUUGUAAGCUAGGUGUAUUUUUGUAUACGUUUCUUAGAUUUUUGUUUUCAAAUACAGACGUAUGUAGUUUCCGUUACAAGAUAUUUAGAGAUUACGUGAAUGAUUUCAAAAUAGAAAAACAAUACCUCUUUAACACCACACUUCAUUACAUAUAUAUAUAUAUCUACUUAACAACUAAUCUUUUAAUAAAAUAUUAUAUAAUAAUAAAAUAAUAAUCAUAUGAUUUUAGUAGAAUGGUUCUAGAUAGUAAAAAGCUCUUAAAUUCAAUUUUGCUAGAAAUCUGUUUUUUUUUUAUCUUUUUUCUUAGUAAUAUCUUUUGCAACAAUAUCUAAUCAAUCCUUUUUUUCUCAAUUGUUUUGGUUUAUAUAAUCAUAAUCUUUCCCAUUUAUUCGAUGUUCUAUAAUUUCCUGAGAAAAAGGAAAACAUAAAUACUUAAGUUUAAUUUUCUUGACAUGUUUAAAGAACUAGAAAAAGAAAAAACACUAGGGAACAAUGGCAAUAAAAAGAUAAAGGUAAAACUUCCAACCAUUUGUCAUUAAAUUAACAAUACAAGAUAUUUUUUUAUCGGCAAUAAACAAUAAAUAAUAUAUGAAUAAUUUUAGGGGUGAUUCAACCCUUAUAGAAGAACUCACCCAUAUUCUUCAUCACAAGACUUAGUUCAAAGUCUGCCAAGACAGAACUCUCCUAGCUAACCUAGAGGAAGACCUCUAGGGGAAACUGUCAAACAGCUUGAAUGAAUACGUCAUGAGAUCAUCCUCAUACAAACCAACGGAUGUACACACCAAUCAGAAAAGGAAAAAUUCGCAAACUGUGACUUGGAUGUAACCCAUGACCAAGCCUUUAAUUAAACCAAAUCAAAAGCUUCCAGAACAUCCACUACUCCCCCGUUAAAAAUAACCCUUUUUCUAAGCUUCCAAACCUUGUUGACUAUUGCGAUCCAAACAACACCCGAACCUCAUUCACCGAACCAGACGCAUUGUUCAACCUAAACUGGGAAAAAUUUAAUAAUGGAGCGUUGUGAAACACGCUCAGCACGCCCAACCAUGCACAACAAUGGUUCCACAAUAACCAAGCAAAUCUCCAAUAAAAGAACAAAUGGGUGCUAGUCUCCUCCUCAACCCACAAAGGCUACACGUGGAGCUUGCAGCAAUGAUCUCGCGCCUUUCCAGGUUAGUCUUAGUGGCUAACUUGUUUUCCAACACCCUCUAAGUCGUAACCAAAGCAAUAGGUGCAACUUUACUCUUCCAAAACUUUUUAAACAUCGUCGCAUUCUCCCCUACUCCAUCCUCCCUUAGACGGAGGUAUGCCGAUUUAACUGUGUACCCAAACUCCUCUCCUUCCUUUCAGACCCACCUGUCCUCCUUAUCCAAGUCGAAAUUCACACCUUGGACUUCCUGAAAAAGUCGUUAUGCUAAUUGCUUCUCCCAUUCAAAUAGAUUCCUUCUCCAAACAAAAUUCCAGACCCAAUUUUCGUUGAUCAAUCCCAAAAAACAGUCAUCGCAGAAGCUUUUGUCACACUCAGGGAAUACAACCUCGGGAAAACCGUCUUCAAAGGCCUUCUCCUACCCAAUUAUCUUCCCAAAACAAAACUUCCUUCCCAGUUCCCACCUUCCAUAUUAAGGCUUCUUCGAAAUUUCGGCCCCAACCCUCCAAGCUCCAGACCUCCUUCAAGUCUUUCCACCAAUGAGAGUCUUUACUAUCUUUCCCUCCCUCUCUCAAACUUCUCCACCCCCCAUACUUGGAAACAGUAAUCUCCUUCCACAAACCACCCUUAUCUGACCCCAACCGCCAUACCCAUUUACCAAGUAACACCAAAUUGAAAGUCCUUAAGUCAAUAAUCCCAAGACCUCCGCGAGCUGCACACACCUUUUCCCAGGAGGCCCAAACGACCUUUCUUCCAUCCGAUCCCAACCCCCAUAAGAAAUCCCUUUUGAUUUUCACGAGCUCGUUUGCCACCACCACCGGCAUUUUAAAUAAAGAUAGGUAAAACAAUAGAAUGGUAGACAAUACUAACUUUAUUAAACAAAUCCUACCUGUCAAAGACAAGAAUCUGCCUUUCCACCUACUUAAUCUUUUCUUCAUUCUAACAAUCACUCCAUCCCAAAACGGCCUUCUCUUAUGGCACCCUCCUACCGACAAACCCAAGUACAGAAAAGUGGUUAUCAUUACAUAUUUAGGAAUUAUAUGUUCGGUUUUAUUAAAAACUAAAGUUUCUUAUACAAUAUUAAAAUAAUAAUUUAUUAAGUUACGAAAAAUUGUCAGAUUUGUUUCAAGAAUUUAACAAACAAACAAUUUGUUAUUUACAAAUUACGUCUUUUAAGUUUAAUUUGUUUUUUAAUUAUUAUUAUUUACGAAUUAUAUAUUCAAUUUUAUUGGAAAUUGAAAAUUUUGAUAUAUAAUGUUAAAUGAGAAUUAAUUGUUGUAACAUCCCUAAUUUUACCCAUAUAUGAUAAAAUAAAAGUAAAACAAACACUAUCUACUUAACAUAUGAAUAUACAUGACUAUCUCAUAAUUGUAUCUAAAAAAAAAUAUCCUUUUAUUACCUACAAUCUCAUCUGCUCCCGUGUACAACACGAUCAUCACAAAUAAAGAAACAAACACAAACAAAUAACAGCGUAAGCUAGCUAUAACAAAAUUUUCUAUAUAAUUUAAAUUUCAAAUUGAUACACAAAAUUCAUAAAUUUUCAUACAAUUUCUCAAACAUUUCACAUAAUCAUCAAGUGUGUAUCACGUUCAUCAUCCACAUUACUCCUUUCAGAUUUCUACUGACUCACAUACUCAGACACUUGACUCUACUUCCAGAAGACUCGUGUAUUGACAUUAGCAUCCAGAGACCUGCACCUGUCAUACUACUGUUGUGAAACCCACACAGCCAUGAGCAUAAUUAUCUCAAUAUCUCAUCAUUUCAUCAUCUUCAUAUGACAGGAUAAAUCCAUUUGAUCUGCUCUGAUCAAUUCUUUCAAACCUCAGACUCAGCCAAAUGGACCUCCUUCGACUCUCACCAACUGAAUAACUUCAUCUAUGUUAUUCCAUUAUAUCAGUAGAGUCAGGAUCGUCUCAUUCACAGGACACUCACAAAUCAAUACACCCUAAUAACAAUCUCAACACAGUAUUUCCUUUCCUGAAAAUACUAUGUCUUGAUCACACUUUAACCUCAUUACAUACAUCAUUUAACAUAUCAAUGCACUACUCAAUCACAUCAUUAUUUAAACUUUCUAAACAAUCCAAAUAUAUCUCAAACUUUACUUAAACACAUAAUUGAUUCCAAAUAUAUGCUCUUUAAAUCAAUCAUCAUCUAAAAUCAAACAACCACUUCUCAUCAAACAUUCAAACAUCUCACUUAAGUAAUUCAAUAAAAUAUUCAAAAAAGAACAGUUCAACUCAUUUAUAUUAUCAUUCAAACACUUUCAAUUCUUAAUCACAAACACUUUCAACAAUUUAUUCACCUUAAAAUCAAUAUAAAAGAUUCAAAAUCAACCAUUCUAGUCAAUAUAUUAUUUUACAUUUCAAAAGAGACAAUCCUAUAAGUAAAUAUUGGAAUUGGUGACCACGUCAUCCUCAUAUCACGAUCUUUUAACCUAGGGUUCUAUUGAAAAGAAUAAGACUAGCUUCCCUUACUUGGACUUGAGCAGAUGCUCACUAAGAGCUCUAACCCACCAAAAGCUUAAGAUAACCCAACCUGCACCACAAAGUCCUGAUCACAAAUCUAACUAUAUCACUAUGACCCUAAUCUAACAUAGACUAAUUCUGAAGAUAAAAACCUCACAUGCAAACUUAACUAAAAGAAAACCCUAACCAAAUCAAAACUAACUCCAAAGAAAAUGAGCCAAGAAUGAACUUACUCUAUCUAAGAUUCUGAUCGGGCAAUCUCGUAGAGUUCACUGCCAGGAGUCCAAUGGCAGAAUCUGAUCAUCAAACUGGUGAACGAGCAGGUCAGAAUCAUAAAGAGAAGGGAGAAGAAAGGAAAAAGGAACAAAAAUGAACUUACUCUAUGCAAGAUUCUAAUCGGGCAGUCUUGUAGAUCUCGCUGCCAGGAGUCUAAUGGUGGACUCCGAUCGUUAAACAGAUGAGCGAGGAGGUCAAAAUCUUAGAGAGAAGGGAGAGGAAAGGAAAAAGGAAACUUCUAGAGAGAUGGUGGUUCUUUUAAAAUGAGACCUGAAUAACUAAUUUUUUAUUUAUAUAGUUUUUUCACUUUAAUAAUAAAAUAUUUCGGUGUCAUUUUAAUUGUAUCAUUUAUACUCUAAGACUAUUUUCUCGGUCCUUACAAUUAUCAAAUUGAUUCACUCUCUAUACGUGUGAAUAAAUUAUAUAUAUAUAUAAUAAUUUUUAUUUAAUUAAUAGAAUGAGUAAUUAAUUUAAAAUUAAAUUAGUACCUAUUUUCUAUCUUUUUAUUGUAAUAUUUUUUGUUCCAAUUAUCUAACUUAUAUGAUUUUUAUUCAAUAUUAUUUUAAAAUGGAUAAAUAGAAUUUAAAAAAUUAGAAAGUGCAAUCUAAAUUUAAUUUAUCAAACAAAAUAUAUCACUUACAACACACAAAGAUCAAAAUUAUUUUUAUAAAAUAAACUAAGAAAAAUUAAAUUUACUUUACCAUAAAUAUUUUAUUGAUUAUUUUGAAAAUUUUAAAAUAUUUUUUUAUAUGAUUAACAUAUUUUAAUUACUUAUAAAAAGUAAUUAAAUCAUCAACUUUAAAUUUUUAAAUUUAGUGUCUAAAUAUAAUUUUAGACAAAUAAUUAUAUAUUUCUUACAAAUUAUUUAACAUUUUAUUUUGUAAGGAUAAAUUUUAGACAGUAUCAUAAUUAAUAUAUGUAUAUAUUAAAAAAAUUAUAUAAUAAAUAUAUUACAAUUUUAUUAAAAUAUGGUCUAAUUUUGUUUAAAAUUUUGUCUCUAGCUACAUAAAUAUUAUUUUUUUAAAAUAAUUAUAUUAAUUGGAAAUAAGUGAAUUUUAUUACGAAUAAGUAUUAAUACUCAAUAAUACAUCAUGAUACGGAAAACUUUUCAAUAUAUAUAUUUUAUUUGGCAUGUUUUAUCAUAAAUGAAAUGUUCUAUAAUUAUUAUAUACAUUAUUAAUAUUUAUUUAUAUAUAAAAUUACUUAUGUUUUAAAUUUUAAGUUAAACAUUAAGGACUUGCUGGUUCAAAAAUAAUAAUAUAAAAAAUAUUUACUAUUUUCUAUAAUUAAAAUUUGUAAUUUUUUUAUGAAUAUAGACUUCAAAUUAUAUAUAUUAAAAUCACAAUUAUAAAUAUAUUACAACUAAAAUAUUAUUACUAAUUUAUAUAUUGUUUAUAUUUUGAUAUGAUUUAGUUACUUAUGUAUACAACAAUUUUUAAAAAAAUUAUAAAUUAUGUAUUAAGAACUUAAUAUACAUAUUUACAAAUUUUGAUAUAUAACAUAAUUGAAUAAUAAAUAAGAUAAAUAUGAUAUUGUUUUUACUUUUUUAUAAAUUUUAUUUCAUACCUUAAAUCAACUAUAUCUUAUAAUUAUAUUUAGAAAAUUAAUUUUUAUUAAUAGUAAUAUGGUUCUUUGUAAGUCUCUUCUUUUGACAAGAUAUGAAGUCAAUGUUAAUAAAAAAUAUUACAACAAGGUCAAAUUCAAUAAAUUAUUUCUUAAAAUAUAUAAAAAAAAAUUUAGAUAAAGUCCUACAUUGAAAUUAGUGUUACUUCUACAUAUUCUACCUAAAAACCAUAACAACUAAUUAUUAAUGAAAUAAAGAUUGUUACUACUUAUUACAUUUAGAAUUUAUUUAUUUAUAAAUUUGAAUUAUUUAUAUUUUAAAAUUAUUUAAUUAUUUAUUAUAAUUAAUAUAUAAUAACUAAUAUAUAAUUAUUUGUUUAUAUAAGAUAUGUUUUAUAUAUUUUAUAGGUUUCAAAAUCUACACAUUACAUUAUAUCAAAUUAUUCUUAAAAUAAUAAUAAUUCAAAUUAAUAUAUACAAUUCUGUAAUAUUUUUUAUUAUAAUUAUUUUAUGAUAUAAUAAUAUGUUCCUGAUGUCUGUUUUAAUAUAAUAAAAUGUUUUUUUCAAUAAUAAUAAUAAUAUAUAAACCAAAAUUAUUUAUUUUUAUUUUUUAAAUUAUUUUAUUUUUAUCAAACUAAAUAUAUAUAUAAUAAAUAUUCUACAUUUUUAAAACAAAGUUUACAAAUUCUGCUUUUUUUAUAUGUUUAUUUAUUAUAAUUAUGUUAUACUUUUUGUGCAACCUAACCUCAGUUCUAUUUUUUUACUGUAUUUUGUAUAAUAAUGUUAUGUUAUUACUGUUAUUAUCACAAAUUCAUUAAUAUAUAUUUCCAUUUUUUUACUGUACUAUUUCUGAUUUUAUUACUAUAUUACUUGCAAGGUGAUAUAAUGCUAUGAAAUUAUACAAGUAUUAUUACAUUUGAAAAUUAUUAUUAAUAUAAUAUUUUUUAAACAUAUUCUAUUGAGUAUGACGGUCUAUAAACAUGUUUUCUUUGGACAGUAUGAUAUGUAUAAAUCAUUCUUUCAUACUUCUUAUGUUACUGGUCUCCUAAUUGAUGUUAUUUAGACUUAAAUUUGUUUUUGUGUUUAUUUUGUAAGUCUAUCUUAAGUCAUUUGUUGUAUGACAUGUAUGACAUUAAGUUUCAUAUUUCUUAAUUCUGAAAUUGUGGCAGCUAAAGAAAAGAAACUUAGAAUUUCAUUAUUUUACUUUUUUUUUAUUAUGUUAUGUUUUGUGAAUAAUUGGAACGUUUUUAAAAAUAAAUAGGAUAUGAAAUGAAAUGCAAAGUGAUAACAAGUAUAAUAUAUUUCAAGGUGUAGAUUUGACAGUAACAAAUUCAAACUGUUCUAAUAGAUUAUGUUAUUUAUUAGUGAGAUAUUUAAACUUUUGUUCUAUACAAUUCCUUUAAGAUCGGGUAUGUUAUGCUCUAAGUGAUACUUUGCUGCCUUAAAAGUUAUUUAUUUAAGAGUGUAAUGUGUUCAAAUGUGAUAGCUAGAACUUUUCACUUCUUCAUUCUUACAUAUAUGUUUAUAGUUUUUUUUUUAUAAUGUUGAGUGUUGUCAUAUUAAAAAGGUCUUGACUCCAUCUUUACAUUGUCAACAUUAAAAAUUUGGCAGCUACACUAUUCUUUUUUAUCAUCUCUCAUUCUAUUUUUGAAUUUUUAAAAGUUGUGUCAAAUUUAAUAUUUAAUCAUUGUAAUUAUGACUCUCCAAUAUAAAUUUUAUUCAUUCUAAAUUUUGUAAUUUGUUAUUAUAUGUAGGAAUUGAAUUAUCAGUCAUAUUGCUUUUUCAGGUCUGAUUACAUAUAUAAAACAAUGUAAUUUUGUAACAUUUUUACAAAAAAGUCUCAUGCACACGGGUCACGUACUAGUUUUUUUAUUAACAAGAAAAAAAAAUAUAAAUCACUUUAAGGGUGGUCCAACCCUUUUACACAACACCUCACUCAGAAGCUUACCACAAAUAUCCUACUUGAUGAGCAACUAAAAAACAAGCCAUCAAAUCAAAAUAAAGACACAUAAGAAACAACCUAACACCUCAUCCUAACCUUUUAAAAAACAAAAGGCCUAGAGUUUCUAAGUUUCUUGAUCAAAUACAUACAAACUAGAGAAUCAAGGCAACAAUCAGAAUAAAAAAAAGCAUGUAGAGAAAAUUUAGAAGUAACCUAAGACCAUACCUUUAAUUGAACCAAGGAAAAUAUUUCAGAAUGAUCCUUCACUCCACCUCUAAAAAUGUGCUUAUUUCUGGGUCUCUACAUCUCACCAACAACUGCAGUACCAACGCUUCCUCAUACAACAUUGAUAUAAACAAGUACAUUAACAAGUUUGAAAUGCUAGUAGCGUGAAUAAGGAUCACAAUAAUCUACUGAAGUCAACCAUAACCAUGCAUAACAUUGGUUCCAAACGAGCAGAGACAAUUAAAAGCAAGAAAAACCCCUUUAUAAAUUAACUCUUCCCUCUUGCACUCCCGCCAACAAAAAGCUGCUACUCUUAUAAAAGUCCACUUUUGUUAACAUAAGAACGUCUCCUCAAACAUGCAAAACAUCUUGCUACAUCCUCCCUAAAGCAAGGGGUUAGCUAUACAAAUUCUUUAAAUCUAAAACACUACUUGUUAACAUAUAUCAUACAUUCUUAUUGUUCCAAACACUAUAUAUUCAGAAUAAGAGAACUCAGCAUAUUUUUCUUUACAUGUAAUCAAAGCUCGGGUUUUUCUAUGUACCACCGCAAAGACCUCUAAAUAAUAAGCUCUCCCAUUCUUAAAACUCUUAUGUUCCUAUUUUCCAUAUUUUACCUACCAAAGCAAUCCACAUCCCCUCAAACUCUGGAUAAUUGACCAUUCACAGUAACAGGGCAAAACAUCAAAAAAUGUACCUUAACAUCAAAGCGAUUCAUCGACAGACAACUCAGCCAAGACAAACACAAUUCCCAAACUUCCCAGGCAAAUUUACACUAAAAAAAGAGAUGACUAACAUUUUCCUCCUCCUCACGGCACAACCCAUAUAAACUAUUUACCAAGAUAACACCUUACCUCAAUAGAUUAUCCUUUGUUGCUAUACUAUUUUGCAACACCCUCCAAGCAAUAACUUGUGCAGAUGGGAGGGACUUGACCUUCCAAAACCUCUCAAAAAGGAUCAUAUCACCACCUCAAACCUCUUUCUUUAAAAGAAUUAUAAGCAGAUUUGAUGAAAAACCCAUUUUUUCAUCAUCCCUUCAAAUCCACUAGUACUUCACAAAUUGAAAUCAUAUUUUAGACAAUAAUAAUUUUAGAAAAAAAAAAUACAAUGGCUCUGCCUUAUCAGGAACAACAAAAAUGAUAUUGUUUCAAUUUUCUACUAGCACCGAUUAGCAAUAGAUACACUUUCCAGGAAAAUUCUAUACCUAAAACACUCACUAGUGUUUUAAGUAUAGAAUUUUCCUGGAAAGUGCAUCUAUUGCAAAUGGUAAGUAAAUAAUGUCUUUGGUUAUAAUAAUGGUGUUCCUUCCCAUUUUACAUCCUUUGUCACAAUUUCUAUGAAAGAAGAUUUAAGGCAAUAGACUCACUUGGAACACCAAUGUGAAUAAGAGAAACAUGUCUUAGAUAUAUGGUGUGCUAUCUAAACCUAAACCUAAACAGGAGGGUAAUAAAACUAUUGAAAUGAAGGAAACACUUAAGUCAUUAUUGGUAGAUAAAAGAAAACCUUCCCAUAAAGAGAGAGAGUUGAUCCACCAAAUUUUAGAAAAUAGAAUCAUAAAGAUCACUUGAUCAAAUAGUGUAUACAUAACAUAGAAACUGAGGACAACUUAUAGUCACAAUAACAAAAUAUUAAGGGUGGUCAUGGAUUGGAUUUUAGGUAAUUCGAUCUAAAUCCAAAUAUUUGGAUCUGAUUUAUAAUCCAAAUCCAUAUUUUUUAUAAAAACAAUUUGGAAAUCCAAAUCCAAAUAUUUGGAUUGGAUUUUAAAUCCAAAUAUUUGGAUUGGAUUUUAAAUCCAAAUUCAUACUUUUAUAUAUAAAAAAAGUAAAUAUUAAGAAAGUAUAAUAAAAUUAUAAUUUAAUAAUACCAAAAAAUUAAAGAUAACAUAAUAUAUAAAUUCUUAACAUUAAAAUACACCUACCUAUAAUACUUUAAUUAAACUUUGAAAAUAUUAUAUUAAUUUAUUAUAUGUAAAAUAUUGGAGCAAAAACAAUUAUGAAAAAAUAUAUAUAAAAUUUGAUUGCUCCAUGUGUGGGUGAGAGAGAGCAAAUAAAAUUUCAAAAAAUGAAUAAGAGGUGCCGCUGGAGAGAGGUUUUUUUUUUUUGAUCAACAAAGAAUAUAAUAUAAUAAAAGAGAUACUUCAGGGGUAUCUCAACCCGUAUACAGAACCACAAUACCCAAACCAACUAAGUUAUAGGUUUCUAAAGAAGACAAUAACACUCAUUCAGAGUCAAUGAGCAUUCCUUCCACCAACCUACACAAGUGGUCUAAUGAAACUAUUGCUUAAGGUCCCCACAAUACCACAAUUCAACACUCAUUAUGACACUUGUGCAGUAAAACCAAGUAUAAUAAUAAUAAAAGAGACUGUGGCAGCAUCUAAGGAAUUAAAUCCAAAGCUCAUCUAUCUACUACCUACGUAUGCCCUUCUAGUAACACUUCUGCCCUCCCUUCCUCUCCAUCAUGAUGCUCCCAAUUUGUUCCAAGCUUCUUUGGCCAUAUUAACAUCUCAAUUCUGGCUCAGAGUCUCCCUUCCACAUACUAGUUUACUGAUAUGCAAUGUCUUGGCAUUGUUCAUCUUCCAUGAACCAGCAGCGGUCUUAAGCGUCCAAUAUACCUUACAUGGCCACCUGCAGGAUUCAUUUGACAGUGUUCCAUUCCUUACUUCAUCUUCAUACCCAACACCAAAUUCCCUACACCCUUACUAGCAUUCCUUCAACCAUACUAGCAAGCCAAUUCCUACCAUUCUGCUUCCAUUAUUCCUUAUGUAGCAUCUUCAGCAGCAGACCCCAAUUUGAUUUGUGUACUUCUACAUUUCACCAUAUAAAAAGGGAGCUCGUACGAUACUUCCACCAUUACUUUAGCACCAACCAGCUGCUUCCAAGGCUAUUACACCUAGCUCCCUGCAAGUAAUAUUCAACCCCACCAAAAUUUACACCAAACACAUAACAGAACAUUCUGUUUACUUUAGUGUCUCCAACCCCAAACCAAAAUUUCCACUGCAUUCCCAUUUCUUCUAAAUAGAGCCCACUUCGUUGGUGCAUGGUAUUGUCACACAGAAAAACUUGCUCUGUUAUCCCUUCAUUAGUGACUCCGUAUAGCUGCCUUUGCUUACUACACACCUGCAUAACAGAACCGUAAUACUAAUAGCAUCAAUACAGUAGUAAACUAAACCAUCACACCAAACAGUCCAAAAAGCCUUUCCCUUAAACAGAGCACACUUCCACCCUGAAAUCUGCAUAAACCAGCCAUGUUAUAAUCAUUUCUUUAGGAAAAUUUUCCAACCUUCCAUCGGCUCCUACACACGUUCCAGCCCUUCCAUGUAUAUACAAAUUCCAUCAACCUAACCAUUAGUCAGAACAAUUCACUACUAUUUAGGUUCAAUCUAUGGGCUCUUCAACCUCCUUAGAAGAUUCCAUAGCUGCCUAUCUCCGAGGUUGAUAACCAACAUGUUAUCCCCCCUAAGAUACCUGCAUACACAAAACAGGAUUGUUCCCGUAUGAACCCUUAUGCUCCGGGCUAAACUUAUCUUACACAAAGAAGGCAUUGGACUGGAUUCAAUAACCAGUCGAAGAAAUAAGAGAAAGCACUUUCCCUGUGUUUCAACCAUAGCCAGGACAGUAAUUAAGCAACUUGAAGGAUUUCCUCAGAGUCAGGAACCCUUUGUCUAAAGAUCACAUUAUUCCUGUGCUCCCAUAUGCAACGUACAAUCGCCGCCCACACUCCCUUCCAUACCUGAUUCUGUUUCUCGGACAUAUUAAAUAAGUGAAAGUUCAGAAAGUGAUUACAUAUGUCCUUGUUUUGAGCUCCCAAAACACCUAUCCAUCUGAAACACAAAAUCCACACUCUAUAUGCCACACCACAGUCCAGAAACAGAUGUUGGGUGGAUUCUUCGGAAAGGUUACACAAAGCACAGAGAGGGGAGUUCACCUCUACACCUCGUGACAUAAGAUUCUUGAAAGUUGAGAUUCUGUCCAAAAGGAUUCUCCAUGCAGUGAUUAGAACUUUUGAUAAAGCUUUGGCCUUCCAAAGAAGUCUAAAGACAUCAUUACCCGAUCCAGUUCUUUGGUCGACCAAGAUAGAAUAUGCUGAUUUCACAGAAAAAACCCCCUUGACAUCCCAUCUCCAAGUAAUAAAAUCCUUGGAUUCUUUAUGCAAAACUCCCGUAGAAAAAAUUGAUAGAAGUUCUUCCUCCAUGACCGACUCCCAUUGAAACCUCUCUCUCCUCCAAUUUAAGUUCCAAUGCCAACCAUAAUCAUCCCAAAAACCGGAGUCACCCACUGUCAUCCCUUGUUUUAAGGACAAAGAGAAUAAUUUAGGGUAAACAUCCUUGAGAUUAUUGUCAACAAUCCAAGAAUCCUCCCAGAAUUUGACUAAGUUCCCAGAUCUGACGUUCCACACUAGAGCUUGUUGAAACCAGCCUACACCCUCGCCUUCCCCACAUAAAUUAACUAGGUCUCUCCACCACCAAGAUUGGUAACACGGUCGGGUGUGAUUAGACCCAUUUAUCUCCAUAUAUUUCGACUCCAUAAUAUCUUUCCAUUUCCCCUUCUCAUCACUCAUUAAUCUCCACUUCCAUUUCGCCAUUAAAGCAUAGUUAAACUUCCUGACCUCUUUGAUCCCUAAAUGAGAAAGAGGUAGGUUUGGAGAGAGAAAGACGGAACUCCAAAUGAGAAAAAAUAUAAAAAGGUAGGUUUGGAUAGAGGACUAUAGAGAAAAACUACUUCCAAAAAUUUGGAUUGGAAAUUUGGAUUUUUCAAUUUUUAAAAUUUGUAUAAAUAAAAUGGAAAUCUGGUAAAUAUAUUUUUAAUGGAUUAGAAUUGUGUAAAAAUGGAGUAGUUUGACAAAAUCCAACCUUACAAAAUACCAAUAACAUGAUAAGCCAAAUCUACUAUAACAAUAGAUUGUAUAUGGGCUGAGAAUAUAAUCCCUUAUUUUUUCUUCUAAGUUAUUAUGUUUAUCUUUAACAGUAACUUCUUAGGCAUCAUAGGAUGCAAUUGCAUGAGAGGAAAUUUUCUAUGACUGGUCAACCCAUUAGUUUCAGUGAUGUUCAAUGUCUGAUGCCCCACUUCUCCACUUGGAACUUCCCAAUUAAAUUGGUGAACAAGGUUUGCUAGACCAGCUCAAUCACAUUCAUGGCAAACAUUAUUCCUGGACAACCCCUCCUUCCUGCUCCAAAUGGUAUCACUUCAAAAUCAUGUCCUUUCACAUCUAUUGAACUAUUUAAGAAUCUCUCUGGUUCAAACUGUUCAGGUUUGUCCCAAUAAGAAGGAUCUCUUGCAAUUGCCCAAGCAUUAACUAUUACUUGUGUGCCAGUUGCAAUGUCAUAGUCCAUCACUUUGGCAUCUUCCAUGGAUUCCCUUGGAAACAACAAGGGAACUGGGGGAUGUAAUCGAAAAGUUUCUUUAAUCACUGCCUUCAAAUAAUGCAUGCUAGUUAAAUCUUCCUCAGUUAUGCGAGUUCUGCCACUAACCGCAUUCCUUAUCUCACCUUUUAGCUUCUGCAUCACAGUUGGGUACAUUAGGAGUUCUGUCAUUAUCCAUCCUAGGAUUGUGGAGCUAGUCUCAGUGCCUGCAGCAAACAUAUCCUGAAAGAAGUACCCAUCAAUUGUCAAUUUCAUUGUCUACCUUAAAUUUCCAUGAACGAAAAUAAACUCAACAUGCAUUAAGGUUUUGAGCAACUAAUAUGUGACUUAACUUUUUAUUGGGAAAGUAGUGUAUAUGUCUUGAAAAGAAAUAACAAAAUCUAAUAGUGUUGAGAAACUAUAGAAUAAGGAUAGGAUUAGAGUUGUGUGUGAAUAUCGUGGAGGAUAAAAGACAUACAACUAUCCUGUUUAUAAUUUACCCUAACCUUUAUUUUAUUGUUAUUCUCUUAGGGUUUAGAUUUUAGGAAAGAAAGUAACAUAAUAAAAUAACAAUCACAUCACUCAGUUAAAGAAAAUAAUUUUUGAGUGAUAGACAACGAAAUUUAACAAAAAUUAAUCAUACGUACCAGGAUUAAAGCCUUUAUGGUUCUUUUAUCAAUGUGGAAUCCCAAGGAGUUUGUCUCUUGGAUCCUCAGCAAAAUGUCCACCAAAUCAUUCUGCUCUUCAUUAUCAGCACCAUGCACAUCAUGUCCUCUCCUACUUACAUGCUCAUCAACAACUUAAUCAAAAAAUUCAUCAAGCUGUUUAGCCACUCUCUUUGCCCUACCAUACAUUCCAUUAACGCUUCCCAACCAAUCAAGCCAAGGUAUGUAGUCCCCUAUAACUGAAGCACCCAACAGCUCCAUCAUCUCAUCCAUUGGCUCCCGAAGCUUACUCCCUCCUUCUCCACUGUAUCUCCUUCCGAGAGCAGCUCUACACACUAUGUCAUUUGCGACUGUAGUAAAUAAAUCAGUUAAAUUCACAGGCAUCGAAGAAGAACAACACUGCUUAAUCUUAUCCAUCAUUGUGGAGAUUUCCUCUUCUCUCACUACACCAAAGGACUGAACCUUUUUUGCACUGAGAAGAUGCAAGACAGAAAUACUCCUUAUCUGUCUCCAGUAGUUGCCAUAUGGAGCAGAUGCCACAUCUUUGUAAUCAUACAAGAAGAUAUCAAACAUCUUACGAUGUGGUCUGUUUGAAAAAACAAGGUCGUGUGUUUUCAUAACCUCACGAGCUGCCUCAGCUGUGGAAACCACAAGAACUGGCACCCUUCCAAAGUGAAGUAACAUUAAAGGGCCAUAGGUUUGAGCAAAGGAUUGGAGAUUGCGAUGAGUGAGGGCGCCAAGUUGGUGGAGAUUUCCUAUUAUUGGAGAGAAGUGAACAUUGUGUCGUGUGUUUUCUUUAAUUUGCUGUAUAAUUAAUUAGCAAUGCAGAACCAGGUAUUUAUAAUGUUUGUAAGAUAGGUGUAUUUGUAUACGUUUCUUAGAUUUUUUUUGUUUUCAAAUACAGUAUGUAUGUAGUUUCCGUUCCAAGAUAUAUUUAGAGAUUACGUGAAUGAUUUGAAAGUAGGAAAAUGAUACCUCUUAACACCACAGUUCAUUAAAUAUAUAUCUACUUAACAACUAAUUUUUUAAUAAAAUAUUAUAUAAUAAAAAAAUAAUAAUCAUAUGAAUGUAGUAGGAUGGUUCUAGAUAGUUUUUUUUUUUUUCUUUUGGCAAAGAAUUAAUGAAAUUAAAAGAGGGACACUUUAGGGAUGGUUCUAGAUAGUUAAAAGCUCUUAAAUUCAAUUUUACUAGAACUCUGUUUUUUAUUUUUUUUUCUUAGUAAUAUCUUUUGCAACAAUAUCUAUUCAAUCCCUUUUUUUUUCUCAAUUGUUUUGGUUUAUAUAAUCAUAAUCUUUUCCAUUUAUUCGAUGUUCUAUAAUUUCCUGAACAAAAAGUAAAACAUAAAUACUUAUUAAGUUUAAUUUUCUUGACAUGUUUGAAGAACUAGAAAAAGAAAAAGAAUUAGGGAACAAUCGCAAUAAAUAGAUAAAGGUAAAACUUCCAACCAUUUGCCACUAAAUUAACAAUACAAGUUUCUUUAAUAAUAUAUACAAGUUGUUUCGUUUGUUUCAAAAGCCCUAAAUAUUGGAACCAAGACUUUUCUAUAUAUGCAAAGUUUACUAAAAUCACAAUGAUUGUAAAUUUUAUCUCGAGAAUGGAAAACAUAUGUACGACCCAUUUGACCACAUAAUAAGAUACGUGUUACUUCUUGCAAACCUCCACUUUAUCAUUUUGUAUUGUUUUUAAGCUUUCACUAUGCUAUGCAUGAACUUUCAGCUAUUCAGCCUAAUCAUCUUAUGAUAGUGAUCUGAUUUGAUAUUAUAAAUGUCAACGAGCCAUUUUUUUUUCCCAAAAUAAAUUAUUUCACUGACUUUUAAACUUAAAAAUGAAAAAUUGUUUAUAAAGAUUAUAAUCAAAUUCUAUUUAUAAUUUUUCACAUGUUUAAUAGAAAAGAUGCCUUUUAAACUCAUCAUCAAAGACUAAAAUUAAAUGAAUUUUUUUCUCGAACGGGUUAGGACUAAGAGAAUUAUUACCUUUCUCUUUGGUUGAUCAGUCGUUUUCUACUUCUUCCCUUUACUGAAUCCUUCUCUUCUUCAUUGUCCACUACAAGAAAAUCAUCAAAUAGAAACCAAUUUUUAGAAACCAAAAUAAUUAGUUGCAAUAGUAACUAAAUUAGAGACCAUUUUAGAAACUAAAACAAAAAUUGGUUUCUAAAUUAGUUUCUAUUAUUUUCUAUUAUUGUUAAAUAGUUUCUAAAUUGGUAUCUAAUUAGCAACCAAGGUUUUAUCUACCAAUUAUUUAGUUUAUAAAUUUAGUCUCUAAAACCUUGGUUACUAAUUAGAGACUAAUUUAGAAACUAUUUAAUAAUAAUAGAAAAUAAUAUAAACUAAUUUAGAAACCAAAUUUUGUUUUAGUUUCCAAAAUGGUCUCUAAUUUAGUUACUAUUGCAACUAAUUAUUUUGGUCUCUACAAAUUGGUUUCAAUUUCAUGAUUUUCUUGUAGUGGUCCUCUUUCUUGUAAAUUCCAAGUCCAGAUGGUACCUAGAAAAGACACUCCAAUGUUCUAGUGACAUCUUAGUAUUCGGUCUAAUUAAUGCGUGAUGAUGAUAUACCUUUUUAUCGAAAUCUAUGACUAUUUAUAUGAUUAUCAUGGGCCCUUUGUUAUUGGGCCGAAUUAGGGUUUUAGAUCAUAAUUAAGAGUGUAUUACCUAAUGCUUAAUCGUUAUUUGAUCUUGUUAAUCUUCUGUUAGUCUUAAUGAAUUUGAUCGUGUCGGUCGGCUCUAGUCGGAUGUUGAGACCUCCAUCUAUCGUUCAGAUCCAAUCGGUACAACUUUUGUUACAAAUUAAAUACACUAAAAGAAAAUGAUUAAAUAAAAAUCAAUUUUAGAGACAAAAUAUAAUUAGUUGCUAUAUUGAUUAAAUUAGAUAUUAUUUUAGAGAUUAAAAAAAUUAUUAGUAUCUAAAUUUGUUUUUAUUAUUGAUAAAUAGUUUCUAAAUUGGUAUCUACACUACAAUAAAAAAAUGUUUUAACAGAGGUUUAUUUUUACAAUACCAAAGGUUAAAACCUUCGUUAAGUCAUUUAUCCUAGGUGGCAGUUUCCUCCGCUAAAUCAUCUAUGGGGAAUGUGUUACUUGGGGUGUUUUAAAACCUCUAAAAAAAUCAGUAUUAACCUUAGUUAAAUACAAUUGGUUUAAGAACCUCCGUAAAAUACCAUGGGUUUGAGAACCUCCAUAAAUACCAUGGGUUUCAUAGCCUCUUUAAAAUAUUAUAGGUUUCACAACCUUCGUAAAAUACUAUGGGUUUUAAAACCUUCGUAAAAUAGUAUAAGUUUCAAAAUCUCCGUAAAAUAUCAUGAAUUUUUGAAACCUCAAUAAAAUAUCAUAGAUUUCACAACUAUAAACAUUCAUGUGCUUUAUGUAUUUUUUGAAUCAUUUAUCAUUUAUGCAUUCGCGUGCUUUUUUAAUCAAUAUUAAUUAUUAUUUCGUGCAAUACUUGUUCCAAUUUUCACAACNNNNNNNNNNNNNNNNNNNNNNNNNNNNNNNNNNNNNNNNNNNNNNNNNNNNNNNNNNNNNNNNNNNNNNNNNNNNNNNNNNNNNNNNNNNNNNNNNNNNNNNNNNNNNNNNNNNNNNNNNNNNNNNNNNNNNNNNNNNNNNNNNNNNNNNNNNNNNNNNNNNNNNNNNNNNNNNNNNNNNNNNNNNNNNNNNNNNNNNNNNNNNNNNNNNNNNNNNNNNNNNNNNNNNNNNNNNNNNNNNNNNNNNNNNNNNNNNNNNNNNNNNNNNNNNNNNNNNNNNNNNNNNNNNNNNNNNNNNNNNNNNNNNNNNNNNNNNNNNNNNNNNNNNNNNNNNNNNNNNNNNNNNNNNNNNNNNNNNNNNNNNNNNNNNNNNNNNNNNNNNNNNNNNNNNNNNNNNNNNNNNNNNNNNNNNNNNNNNNNNNNNNNNNNNNNNNNNNNNNNNNNNNNNNNNNNNNNNNNNNNNNNNNNNNNNNNNNNNNNNNNNNNNNNNNNNNNNNNNNNNNNNNNNNNNNNNNNNNNNNNNNNNNNNNNNNNNNNNNNNNNNNNNNNNNNNNNNNNNNNNNNNNNNNNNNNNNNNNNNNNNNNNNNNNNNNNNNNNNNNNNNNNNNNNNNNNNNNNNNNNNNNNNNNNNNNNNNNNNNNNNNNNNNNNNNNNNNNNNNNNNNNNNNNNNNNNNNNNNNNNNNNNNNNNNNNNNNNNNNNNNNNNNNNNNNNNNNNNNNNNNNNNNNNNNNNNNNNNNNNNNNNNNNNNNNNNNNNNNNNNNNNNNNNNNNNNNNNNNNNNNNNNNNNNNNNNNNNNNNNNNNNNNNNNNNNNNNNNNNNNNNNNNNNNNNNNNNNNNNNNNNNNNNNNNNNNNNNNNNNNNNNNNNNNNNNNNNNNNNNNNNNNNNNNNNNNNNNNNNNNNNNNNNNNNNNNNNNNNNNNNNNNNNNNNNNNNNNNNNNNNNAUAUAUACACUUAACAACUAAAUUUUUAAUAAAAUAUUAUAUAAUAAUAAAAUAAUAAUAAUCAUAUGAUUGUAGUAGAAUGGUUCUAGACUCUUAAGUUCAAUUUUGCUAGAACUCUGUUUUUUUUUCUUUUUUUCUUAGUAAUAUCUUUUGCAACAAUAUCUAAUCAAUCCUUUUUUUUCUUAAUUGUUUUGGUUUAUAUACUCAUAAUCUUUUCCAUUUAUUCGAUGUUCUAUAAUUUCCUGAACAAAAAAGUAAAAUAUAAAUGCUUAUUAAGUUUAAUUUUCUUGACAUAUUGAAGAACUAGAAAAAGAAAAAGCACUAGGGAACAAUGGCAAUAAAAAUAUAAAGGUAAAAGUUCCAACCAUUUGCCAUUAAAUUAACAAUACAAGUUUUUUUAAUAAUAUAUAUACAAGUUAUUUCGUUUGUUUCGAAAACCCUAAAUAUUGGAGCCAAGGCUUUUCUAUAAUUGCUAAGUUUACUAUGUACGACCCAUUUGACCACGUGUUAUUUCUCGCAAACCUCCACUUUAUCAUUUUGUAUUGUUUUUUAGCUUUGAAUAUGAAUAUGCUAUGCAUGAACUUUCAGCUCUUCAAGGUCAUCCUAAUAUAAUUUUAUGAUAAUUUUUUUAUUAACAAAGAAUAAAAAAAAAUAAAAAAAAAUACAUGCCCUAAUCCUUAUACAAAAAUUGGUCAAAGAUGAACUUAUUUAACACUUAAGGAACAAAAAUCUUGUUAAACUUUAUAAAUCACCAAACCAAACAUCAAAAACACAUAAAAAAAAAAAAAGUCAUAGCAACACACAAAACACCUUUUCUCAAAAGUCCUAACAUCUUUUAUGUGUUUUUUUACUCAUUUAUCAUUUAAACAUUCAUUUGAUUACCAAAAUUGUUUAUGUUUAUUAUAUUUAUUUAUCUUUUAUAAAGUACUUUUCUUAAUGAGAGUAAAACGUUUUAGUUUAUAACAAAUAUUUUUUUUUAUCAACUUGAAUUACUCAUUCGUGCAUUGUUCCAGUUUCUCACACGCACACCACCAACAAUCUCUAAUGCAGCAAAAUAUUUGUUCAGUUUCUUUGUACCUUUAUUUCCGCUUUUGUGUGUCAAGAUUCAAUUAAUUUCACCAACUUCAUUGGAUCCCAUUACAAUUACUAAGAUUUUCACCUCAAUCACGCUCACCAAUUUCUCACACAAGUCCAAGUCCCACACAAACACUGACAGACCAAUUUACAGCACCACGAAACUACAUACACUAUUCAAAAAAUCAUCAAAUAAAAUUUAAUUUUAGAGAUUAAAAAUAAUUAAUUAUUAUAUUGACUAAAUUAGAUACUAAUUUAAAAAUUAAAAAAAUUAUUAUUUUUUAAAUUAGUUUUUAUUAUUGAUAAAUAAUUUUUAAAUUGACACUAAAAGAAAUCAUGAAAUAGAAACCAAUUUUAUAGACUAUAGAUAAUUAGUUGUUACAGUGACUAAAUUAUAAACUAUUUUAAAAACUAAAAAAAAUGUUUCUAAAUUAGUUUAUAUUAUUGUUAAAUGGUUUCUAAAUUAAAAUUUAAUUAGCAAUUAAGGUUUUUGUUACCAAAUUUAGAAUUAAAUAAUUGGUAGUUAAAACUUUGGUUGGUAAUUAGAUACUAAUUUAAAAACCAUUUAACAAUAAUAGAAACUAAUUUAGAAACUAAUUUUUUUUAGUUUUUAAAAUGGUCUCUAAAUGUUUUUCUUGUAUGUGAUAUCUAAUUAACUACCAAAAUUUUAACUACUAAUUAUUUAAAUUCUAAAUUUGGUAGCAAAAAUCUUGAUAGAUAAUUAAAUACUAAUUUAGAAACUAUUUAUAAUAAUAAAAACUAAUUUUAAAAUCAAUAAUUUUUUUAAUCUCUAAAAUAAUAUCUAAUUUAAUUAAUAUAACAAUUAAUUAUUUUUAUUUCACUAUUACAUUAAGAUGCAUUCUACAACAGUUACAAUUUGCUUUGUUGCCACGUUUUUGAACCGUGAGCUACUGCACCUCCAGCGAUGAUUUAAUUUCAACUCAGCAUUCCAAUUUGUUAAACAAAAAACUACACCAAUUUGGUUCAUGUAAAGUUUAUUUUGAAUUGCAAUUCAACUUUAAUACCAAAUUGUUCCUGCCUAGUACAUUCCAGCCAAAACACCAAAUUUGUACAGUUGAAUCAAAGAAUAGUUCAGAAAUUGAAAUCAUAUUUCAGAAAGUAAUAAAUUUAGAACAAGAAAAACACAAUGACUCUGCCUUAUCCAGGAACAACAAAAACAAUAGUUUCAAUUUUCUACUAGCACCAUCAGCAUAUUCAAGCCACAAGUUAAAGCAUCAAUACAACAUUAUUUUUUCAAAAUAUUUGCUAAUUACUCUUUUAUAAUAUUUAAUUAUUUAAUUAUUUAAUUAUAUCAUGUUUUUUUAUUAUUAUUAUUACAUAUUUAGGAAUUAUAUGUUCGGUUUUAUUAAAAACUAAUUUUUCUUUUACAAUAUUAAAAUAAUAAUUUAUUAAGUUACGAAAAAUUGUCAAAUUUGUUUAUUCUCUUUCAAUUAUCGAGAUUUGUUUUAAGAAUUUAACAAAACAUUUGUUAUUUACAAAUUAUGUCUUUAAGUUUAAUGUGUUUUUUUAAUUAUUAUUAUUUACGAAUUGUAUAUUCAAUUUUAUUGGAAAUUGAAAAUUUUGAUAUAUAAUGUUAAACGAGAACUAAUUGUCAAAUUGAUUCACUAUCUACACGCGUGAAUAAAUUAUAUAUAUAAUACUGUUUAUUUAAUUAACAGAAUGAUUAAUUAAUUAGUACCUAUUUUCUAUCUUUUUAUUGUAAUAUUUUUAGUUUCAAUUAUCUAACUUAUAUAAUUUGUCUCAAUACUAUUUUAAAAUGGAUAAAUAAAUUUACAAAAUUAGAAAGUGCAAUCCAAAUUUAAUUUAUCAAACAAAAUAUAUUACUUACAACACACAAAUAUCAAAAUUAUUUUUAUAAAAUAAAGUAAGAAAUUUAAAUUUACUUUACCAUAAAUUAUUUUUAUUGAUUAUUUUGAAAAUUUUAAAAUAAUUUUUAUCGAUUAACAUAUUUUAAUUACUUAUAAAAAGUAUUUAAGUCAUCAAUUUUAAAUAUUUAAAUUUAGUGUCUACAUAUAAUUUUAGACAAAUAAUUUUAUAUUUCUAACUAUUUCUUACAAAUUAUUUGAAAUUUUAUUUUGUAAGAAUAAAUUUUAUACAACACCAUAAUUAAUAUAUGUAUAUAUUAAAGAAAUUAUAUAAUAAAUAUAUUACAAAUUUAUUACAAAAAUGGUCUAGUUUUGUUUAAAAUUUUGUCUCUAGCUACAUAAAUAUUAUAUAUCUUUUAAAAUAAUUAUAUUCAUUGGAUAUAAAUGAAUUUUAUGAAUAAGUAUUAAUACUCAAUUAUACAAUACGGUUAACUUUUGAAUAUAUAUAUAUAUAUAUAUAUUAUUUUUUAUUUGGCAUGUUUUAUCAUAAAUGAAAUGUUAUAUAAUUAUUAUCUAAAUUAAUUAAUAUUUAUUUAUUUAUAAAAUUACUUAUGUUUUAAAUUUUAAGUUAAACUUUAAGGAUUUGCUGGUUCAAAAAUAAUAAUAUAAAAAACAUUUUUUCUAUAACUAAAAUUUGUAAUUUUUUAAUGAAUAUAAUGAUAGACUUCAAAUUUUAUAUAUUAAAAUCACAAUUAUAAAUAUAUUACAACUCAAAAUAUUAUUACUAAUUUAUAUAAUGUUUAUAUUUUGAUAUGAUUUAGUUACUUAUCUAUACAAUAAUUAAAAAAAUAUAUAAAUUAUGUAUUAAGCACUUGAUAUACAUAUUUACAAAUUUUAUUAUAUAACAUAAUUGAAUAAUAAAUAGGAUAAAUAUGAUAUUUUUUUUUACUUUUUUAUAAAUUUUCUUUCAUACCUUAAAUCAAUUAUAUCUUAAAAUUAUAUUUAGAAAAAAAAAAAUUUAUUAAUGGUAAUAUGGUUUUUUUGUCUCUUCUUUUAACGAGCACUAAUACAGAAUAGUUCAUUAACGACGAUUAAAAAGGCUAUAAAGAUGAUUUUCAAACUGUAUUAUCUUAUAACAUCAGAUUGAAUAACAGAUGUUGUUCUUUCAAAGUUGGAUACAUUAGGGGAAAAAAACCUUAGGUCACAUUUUUUCUAAAUAAUUUCUGAAAUAAUGUAGCCAUAUUUUCUAGUAUUUCAAUAUGCGAAAAUCAUAGGAGAAUGAAAUAAACACAAGUACAAUUAUGGCAAAAUACACUUUGAAAUAUAUGAGAAUCAUAUUUAAGAUAAUUUUUUCCCAAAAUUAUAUUCUUAAAAUAAACUACUCAUUCUGCAAGCACAUUGUUCAUAUUAUAUGUCAAAGAUGAUUUUCAAUUUUCAAAGUUAGAAAACCCUAAGCUACUUGAUGCUAUGAAUCCCAAAGAUUUGAUAACCAAUAGGAUGCAGAACCAAUAAUAGAGGUCUCUUUGGGAAGGGACUACGAUUUACAAAUGUAAGGUUUUGUGAAGCUGUAAAGGCAUGUUGUUUUUAUUGCUACUACAAGAAAUUAUGCAAUAUUUUAUAGCAUAAUUAUGCCAUGCAAAGCACUAGAAGUGCCAAAAAGCAACGAUUUCAUAAAAAAAUAUGCAAAUAAAAUUUAACAGAGAACCAAAACAGAGCACAAUCAAGACAUUUGCAUCACGCUAAAAGACAAUCACAAUAAAAAAUUUCAAUCGAACGAAACAUUUAAAAAAAUCCCAAAAAAUAUAUAUCAGAAAUCAAAUCCAAUGAAGUUCAUCCCCAAACCCUAAAAUUGUUUUUAAUCCUAUUUUGACACUGAAAACCCUACCACAUGCGAAAAUGGAAGGAAGAAAACGUAAAUUUGUCUCUUCACAUCAUUUUGCUUUUGGCAAUGUCAUUGUCGUGAAUGAAUUUGAAGAACGAACCGCUUACCUUACUCACAUAAUGCCACUCCUAGUUCGUAACAAAUGGCUUAGGGUUUUAGAGUUGUCUUGGUUUUGACUUAGGGUUUCACUAGUGCAGAAAGGCAAAACAGGGGCGCCUUAUUAAGUGCGGUUUUACGAACAGACGCAAUCGUAGAAAAUGUGGUGGCAUUUUUUAAAUUAAGUUCAUUUACAAAUGCGACUAUUUGUAACAGCCGCACUCGUAAAUCAAAGCGCUUGAUUUUACGAGUGCGGUUGUUACAAAUAGCCUCCCUCGUAAAUCAUUUUUACCUUAACUUCACUUCAGAAGCGCGCCAUUCACUACUCUUUUUUUCUCCAGAAGUGUUCCGUGUUUGCACUAUGCUCUCAUUUGCGCUUCGAGUUCCUCUCUUUUUGAAGCGUUCGUGCCUUCGUGGUAAGUUUGUGAGCUUUCUUUCUUCUUCACCAUUGUAUUUUUUGUUCAUACAAUGUAUUGAUACUAUUCAUACUGUUGCAUUGCCUUCAUUGAUACUGUUGCAUUGCCUACGUAGGUUCCUCUCUUCUUGCUUGUGUGCUCCGUUGCUGCUUCCCCGUCCACCGCCUCGUUCGUUGUUGUCGUCGUGCCACCUUGGCAACGUUGCCUUCACACACAAGGUUGGUUUUAUUUUUUGAAUUUUUCUUUAGUGUUAUGAAUUUUUUUUAUGUAUUAUAAUUUUUAUUUUUUAAAAUUUAUAUUAUUUAGUGUUUAUUUUAAUUUUAAUUUAUAUUUGUUGAUCAAGGAUGAUCUUGAAGCUUUGAUGUCUCCAAAUCCAUGAUGUUUGAUGGAAGGCUGGAGUUGUUGUGUGUGUGGGAGGGUUUUGGGUAGAAUGAUGUGCAAUCCACUCUUUGUUUGAAUCUAAAACAGUUUGGAAUCAAAACUUUUUUGAAAAAUAAUGUUUUAUGAAGAAGUGGAAAAACAACCUGUUGUUUUGUCGUUUCAAUCGGUUGUUUAUCACUUAGAGGUUUUUGAAAAGGGUUUGAAGCUGUUUGACUUGGUUGACUUUGCUGUCAAACCAAUUCAAUCGGUUGUUUUGAGGAUUCAACCGAUUGUUUAUUGAAAACCCAUAAAAAAAAUUUAUUAUGUUUGCAAAUCAGCUUUAAAUGUUUUCUAGCUGAAUAGGCUCAUACUUUAAAUGUUUUUAACAACAUUUGGAGUAUUUAAAAAGGUUGUUAUACUCUCUUAAAGUUUGAUAACAAAUUUGAGACAUUGGUGAGAGUGUGAAAACAAAUUUGAGUUUUCAAGAUUUGCAUUCAAGAUUUUGGGUUUUCUCAAAGAAGUGGAAUAGGAUUGCGGUAAUCUUUCGAUUUGAUCUUCAUCAGGUGUAAUCCUUUCUGAAUCUAUUGUAUUUCUGAAUACUGGUGUGUAAGUGCAGAAUAAGAGGGUGUUCUGAUUUCUGUGGUGUUUGUGUGCCAAAGGAAGUGUGUUUCUUGAGGUGUUCAAGGUCAUUUCUUUGGUGGUGUGUUUGUAAUAUGGAUUUUGAUUGCAUUGUAGAUACCUAGUGGUUUCUGAGGACUGGAUGUAGCUUUUGGGAUAAGAGUGAACCAGUAUAAAUUGCUUAUGUGUUUUUCUCUUACCCUUAACUCAUUUAAAUUUUGCUUUUAAGUUGUUUUUGCUGAUAUAAACAACUGGGUGAAUCGCAAAAACAACCGGUUGAUUUUCUGUUAAUCAACUUAAACAUUUUUAAUUGAUUGCUUUCUGGAUUUCUAUAUCUGUGAUUCUGAUUUGAACUUCAUUAUACCUUUAAAGUUUGCGAAAAUCUUUCAUAAACAAUUCACCCCCUCUUGUUUAAGGCCAUAUAUUCUAACAAUUGGUAUUAAGAGUUUGGUACUUGAAAAAUACUCAAGUUUGAUCCUAAUUUUUUUUUUCUUAUGGCUGAAAAAUUACCCUUUGGGGAGGGUGCAUCAAUAAAUAGACCACCUUUGUUUUGUGGUUUGAAUUACCAAUUUUGGAAGUACGUAUGCAGAUCUUUGUUGAAUCUCUUGAUAAAGGAAUAUGUGAUGCAAUUGAAAAUGACCAUUUUAUUCCUAAGCUUGAAAAGGAUGGUGUUUCUAUUGAAAAGCCUUGGUCCCAAUGGACUGAUGCAAAAAACAAAAGAGCAAAGUUUGAUUGCAAUGCAAAAAGUAUUAUCACCUCUGCCUUAAAUUCUAAUGAGUUUUUCAGGGUCUCUCAAUGCAGAUCUUCUAAGGAGAUGUGGGAUACUCUAGAGGUAACUCAUGAAAGAACGAACGAUGUAAAGAAGGCAAGGAAACAUACUCUAAUCCAAGAGUAUGAGAUGUUUAGAAUGCUCAAGGGAGAAUCAAUUGCGGAUGUGCAAAAACGAUUCACUUACAUUGUCAAUCAUCUCGUGAGUCUUGGAAAGGUCUUUGACAAAGAAGAGUUGAAUAUCAAAAUUCUCAAAUGUCUUGAUAGAUCUUGGCAACCUAAAGUUACGACUAUCUCAGAAUCAAAGGAUUUGACAUCUUCGACUACAACCUUCUUGUUUGGAAAGCUUAGGGAGCAUGAGUUGGAGAUGAAUAGACUCAAGAUUCAAGAGAGUGAAGAUAAGCAUGUAAGAAACAUUGCCUUGAAAAAUGCCAAGCACAAGAACAAUCAAGUUUCAAGUGAUGAGAGUGAAGGAGAAACUCUUAGUUUUCUGUCCAAAAAGUUCAGCAAAUUCAUGAAGAAGAAUCGCAACAAAGACUCCAAUAAAGAAAGGUAUGACAACAAGAAAACUAGUGAUUUUAAUGCUAACAAUUAUACUUGCUAUGGUUGUGGAGAGCAGGGGCACAUAAAGACUGAAUGCCCAAAUAAAGAGAAGAAGUCGAGCAAGAAGGAAAAGAAAGCAAAAUAAAAAAGAGCCUACAUUGUUAGGGAUGAAAAUGAUGUCUCUUCAUCUAGCUCCUCAUCAAGUGAAGAUGAAGAAGCUAAUAUGUGUUUGAUGGCCAAGGAAGAGGAUGAUGCAAACAGUGUAAGUUCUUGUACUUCUUUAAAUGCUGAAAAUUAUAGUCAACUUCUUCAAGCUUUUAAAAAAACACAUGAGGAAGCUAAUCAUUUGGCACUCUUAAACAACCGAUUGAAAGGGUUGAAUAACUGGCUUGAAAACAGAGUCAAGGCAUUGGAAAAAGAGUUGGAGAAUUCAAAAACUGAUUGAAAAUCUAGAAAUAAUUUACAAGAACUCUUCUUGCAAGUGUGACUCUCUUGUUUGUGAAAAUUGUGAAUCUCUUGAAAAGAAGGUUCACUAUCUUGUGAAAACUGUGGAUAGACUUUCAAAGGGUAAAUCCAACUUUGAGAAUGUCUUGGCAUCUCAAAAUUGUGUUUUUGGAAAAACAGGUUUAGGUUUUAAUCCACAGAGCAAGAAGAAUGAGUUUUCAAAGUCUUUUUCAAAACUGGCAGAAAAACAACCGAUUGAAAAAUCGAAACAAUCGGUUGUUACAUGAUUUAUUGCAUGAAGAGAGGCCACUCUGUUAGAUUUUGCAAUACUAGGAAAUAUUUUGUUCCUAAAGGUGUUAUGAGAUGGAUUCCCAAGAAUUGUGAGGUUCCUCGUGAUAAAGUUAAUAUCAAAGGACCCACAUUUGUAAGAGGACCAAAUCUUGUUGCUUGAUUUCAUGGUUUUGCAGGAUUACUAAUAGAUUAAGGAGUCUUGAGUCACAAGAUCAAGCUUAUGAAGGAACUUUCUGGACUUCCAAUUACUGUUUUGUACAAGCUUAGUCUUCUUGAAAGCCAAGAGAAGUUACUUGAUCAUGGACAAUGACUCAUUGAAAGAACUACAUUGGCAAAAGGAUAAAACUUUCCUUGUUUUAAUUUUUUUUAAUAGUCUUUAAUUCAGGUGUAUGAUAAUUGAUGUCUGUAUUUUUCAUCUAUGUGAAGGUGCAUGUAAAACUUUCUUUCUGAUGCAUCUCUGGCAAUCUAUUAUUAAUCUAUGAAAUGCUUUAAUCUUUGUCACAGAAAAACAACCGAUUAUUUUCACGAAACAACCAAUUGUUUCCCUCUGGCAACACUGCAUUAAAUUGAGUUAAUUUCUCUAUGCAUUGUUUCUGUUGUAGAUUCUUUUCUCAAGAAGUUACAAGUCAAAAUUGCUUUUAUUGUUGGUCAGAUUUUGUGCAGAAAGAGUGUUAUUUUGGUCAUGAAUGGAAUAUAUUCCAUAUCUUGGAAAUUCAAGAGCUUUUAUGACUAGUCAAAUCCACAUGUCAUGACCAUGUGCUUUCUGGUAUUAGCUGACAUUUUUCUAUGCAAUCUUGGACCAAAUAAUUCUUCUUGAAGACUGAAACCCACUAAAUGGCAAGAAUUGAAGCUGCUACUUGUGCAUUUGUAGAACCCUAUGCAGUUGUUUUUCUUCACAAAAACAACUCAUUACCACAUCUCUUGCUGUUUUUCAAAUUUGCUAUUCCUUCUCAAACUGGUUUCUGUUUUUCUCUUUGCCUUCAUGGAUGCCACACCUCUUUCAUCAAAGAGGAUCAAAACAAGGGUUGUAAGAAGGGGAGGACGCAUUUAGGCAUGGUUCUCGGGUGAAGAUAAAAAGAUUGAGAAAUAUCUUCAUGAAACAAGUAGGAAGACAAUAAACAAUCCAAAGCUUAUCUCUUUCACUUGGUUAAAGGAGCAGAAGUUGGGUGAGCUGAGAAGUCUUCUCAAAGAACAAAUGCUGAAGAGGUUCUUGGAGAUGUCAGGGAACACAUACCCUGAACUUAAAAGGGUAUUGUAUACCGACCUUCAAUUUGUUGGAAAUAACCUUGUUUCUCAAGUAAAAGGGCUUGAUAUGGAGAUUACACAUGAAGUAUGGACUGCCAUCACUGGAUUAAAGUAUGCAGGGCUGCGAAUCAACAAAGGAAACAUUGGUGUGGUGGAGGAAUUUAAUAAAAUUCAGUUUUACAAGAAUUGCUUGGAGAAUCCUCAAGCUAAAGUGACAAAUUUUUCAGUGGGAGGUCUAAAAUUGAAUGAAAGGCUAAUUGCCUUAAUUGUGACAUGGAUGCUUACACCUAGGGGGAGCAAUCCUUUUGUGCUUACUGAGGAGGACCUUGUCUACAUGUAUUGCAUUAUGAACAAGGUCAAGAUCAAUUGGAUCCACAUCAUUAAGGAACACAUCCAGAAAUCAAUGAGGUUAAGUGACUAUCACUAUCCAUAUGCUGUAUUGAUUUCUAAAUUCUUGAAUUAUUUUGAAGUGGACCUUGAGGAAGAACAAACUGAAGUUGUGAAAUCAUCUCUUGAAGUGAACAAUGGUUCACUUAACAAGAUGGGUUUCACCAAGAUUGGUGGAAAAUGGGUGAGCAAAGAUGGUGAUCAAGGUAGUUCCUCAAGUGGUGUGCAUGCUGGACAAUAAGAGAAAGAUUUUGAUGCUGCUGAAGGUGUUGGAGUUGAUGCUCAAGAAGAACAUACUGUUACUGAUAUAGGUGCUGGAACAAGUGCUGGAAAUCAAGGAGAAAUGAUUCUCUCAAUGUCUCCUUUUGAGAGGUUUAUGGUUAAUAGAAUGAACAACUUUGCUAAAAACCAAAGGAAUCUCCAUGAAUUUUGUGUUACAAAUUUUCAUAACUUUGAUGACAAAUUCCAAAGCAUGGAUACACGUUUCUAGAACCUUGACGAACAGAUUGAAGUUGUUCAAAACCAAAUAUUUGAGCUGCAGUAUGGAAAGGAAGAUUAAAGCAAAGUUUUAGUUAUGUUUAUGCUUAUCUUGCUUUAAUUUUUGGACAUUUCUUUCUUAUUUUUGUUUUUAUUCCUUUCUUCAUUAUAUUUGUGAAGACAAAUAGGGGGAGAAAAUGUUGGUUUAUGUGUUGUGUAUGCUGCUAUUACAAACUCUGAUUUCAAGUUUUUAAUUCUGUUGCAUUGCUGCUGCUACACUCACUGCUUUUGGCAUAUUUUUGGACUGGUUUUUCUACUGUUUUGAUUAUGCAUAAAACUAGUGAAUGUGCCUUGAUAACCUGCUACCAUAUAUGUUCUAUGUUUGUAUAGUUUUUGUUUGCAAGUACUGGUUCAUAUUCAAACAGAUCAACACAAGCAACCAGGGAUUUGUCUUCAUCAAAUAGGGGGAGAUUGUUGAUCAAGGAUUGUGCAUGAAGCGAAAAUACAUGAUGUUGUCUAUGAUGAUAUCCGGUCCGAAACAGCCAGGGAAUGACAUAGAUGUUUAUCUAAGUUCCCUAAUAGAAUAUUUGAAGUUAAUGUGGGACUAGGGUGUUGAAGUAUUUGAUGGAUUUGCUACUGAAACUUUCAAGCUUCAUGUCAUGUUAUUUUGCACCAUCAAUGACUUUCCGGCAUAUGGUAACUUAUCAAGUUACAAUUUUAAGGGUCAUAAAGCAUGUCCAAUAUGUGAAGAAGACACUGCUUCUCAACAAUUGAAAAAUGGAAGGAAGACAAUAUAUCUUCGGCAUCGGAGAUUUCUUAGAAGUCAUCAUCCUUACCGGAGGUUGAAAAAAGCCUUUAAUGGACACCAAGAGACUAGUGGUCCACCAACUCCAUUAACUGGUGUUAAGGUUUACGAAAAGGUAAAUAACAUAGACCAUACCUUUGGUAAGUCAAACAAAGAGUCAUCUGUGACAAACAUUUGGAAGAAGAAACCAAUCUUCCUUGAUCUUCCGUACUGAUCAAGGUUAGAAGUCAAACAUUGUAUAGAUGUAAUGCAUGUUGAGAAGAAUGUGUGUGAUAGCUUAAUUGGUACACUUCUUACAUUAACGGGAAGGCGAAUGAUGGUCCAAAUGCUCAUUUAGAUUUGAUUGAGAUGAACAUACGAGGCAAGUUGGCACCCAUAGAAGUCGGUAAGCGUACAUAUUUGCCCCCAGCCUGUUACACCAUGUCAAAAGAUGAAAAAAUCAGUUUUUGUCAAUGUCUAAAGGGUGUGAAAGUGCCACAAGGAUAUUCCUCAAAUGUGAAGAGCCUAAUGUCAAUGCAAGAUUUGAAGUUAAUUGGGUUGAAGUCUCAUGAUUGCCACAUCUUGAUGCAACAGUUGUUGCCGGUAGCUAUUCGUGGGAUCUUACCAAAAAAUGUUAGACAUACCUUAACCCGUUUGUGCUCAUUCUUCUCUUCCAUCUGUUGUAAAGUCAUUGAUCCAUCAAAACUAGAUGAACUUCAAAAUGAAAUUGUUGUUAUCUUGUGUGAAUUGGAGAUGUUUUUUCCUCCAUCUUUUUUUGACAUCAUGGUUCAUCUAAUGGUGCAUAUGGUAAGAGAGGUUAGAUUGUGUGGACCAGUGUACUUAAGAUGGAUGUAUCCUGUUGAGUGGUAUAUGAAAAUUUUGAAAGGUGAUGUGAAAAAUCAUUAUCGUUCAGAAGCUUCAAUGAUUGAAAAGUACAUAACUGAAGAAAUUAUUGAAUUUUGUUUAUAGUACAUGUCAAAAGCAAAUCCAAUAGGUCUUCCAGCUAAUUCAUGGCACCACAGGCGUUCUACAAGUAAAUGUUUACGUGGUGUGAAUAUUGUAAGCAAAUCUCGAUUAGAAGUCUUGCAAGCACAUUUGUAUAUAUUGAAUAACACAGAUGAAGUUAUACCUUACAUAGAAGCUCAUAAAGCCAUUGUGAAGGCAAAUAACCUAAGACAAGUAGAGAAAUGGGUCUUGAUGGAACAUAAUUGAACUUUCAUGCCUUGGUUUAAAGACGAGGUGUUAAAGAAUUCAACGGCAUCAGAGACCUUGACCUGGUUGGCUGCUGGAUUGAAGUUUGAUGUCAUUUCAUGUAAAGCGUACAAAGUGAAUAAUUGUAUAUUUUACACGAAGUCUAUGGAUGAAAAUAUUACAGUUCAAAAUUCUGGUGUUACUCUUGAAGCCGAGUCAAUGCAUUUUUUGACUUCGAAAGAUACAAAUCCUGUACUUGGAUCAAUGGCAUACUAUGGGUUUAUAAAAGACAUAUGGGAGGUUGACUACACUAAGUUUUUCGUUCCAGUUUUCAAGUGUAAAUGGGUUGACAAUAAAAGUGGGGUUAAAAUUGAUGAAUCAGGAUUCACACUAGUGGACUUUCGAAGGAUAGGGUAUCGAUAUGAGCCAUUUGUAAUGGUUCAACAAGCAUCUCAGUUUUUCUACGUGAAAGAUCCUAUGUCAGAACAUUGGUAUGUCAUUUUACACGGGAAAAAACAAGGGGAGGCCAUAGAUGAUACUGAAAAUAGUGGCCCUCGUUCAUUCACACCAAUGAUAAUUAAUAAAGAUGACGAUGUACUUGAUGAUGUACAUGCAACCUGUAAAGACCACAGUGAAAGAAUUUACAUAUGAACAUUCAACCCACAUGCAACCCGUAAAUACGCAUUUAUAAUUUUAUGUAUUUGUUUUAUAUGAUUUUAAUUCGAUGCAGAUUAACUAAUGUUAGUUACCUAAUUUUUUUAACACAGCUAUGAAUGACGAUCAAAAUCCAAUCAGAUCUUGAUCCGGACGAGUCAGCAUAGGACCUACUAGAUUGAAGUGUCUCGCAUUUAAACGUGUUGUUGGUGAGAAGACACGUGUUGACAUUGACGUCAACACUAGAGUGGCUUUUGGUCCUCAAGCAGAUGAGUUUAUGAGCUAUCUUAGAGUUGUUUCUCGUGAGAGGCUCUCCAUUUUAAUUAAUUCAUGGGAUGUGGUGUCAAAGGUCGAUCGGAACAUGAUCUGGGAGGAUGUUAUGGUAAGAUUUACAUUUUUAUUGUUACCAUAUAAUGCUUUUUAAUAUUCAUUGAUUAAUUUUAAUUUGGUGAUGAUAUUUUGCAGGCAAAUUUUGAAAUUCUUGAUGUGGAACAGCUUCGAUCAAAGAUUAUAUUCAAUACCGGACUUAAAUUCCGUCACUUUAAGUCAAGACUAACUUCAAGAUAUGUUUUUGGCGACCUUAAAGACGAAAAUCCAUGUUUUUAAAGUACAAAAAUAUUUGAUGAAGAGACAUGACGUCUUUUUAAAGAAAGCCGUGAAAAUGAAGCUUGGAUGGUAAGUGAAGUUACUUAACUAUUUUUAUUUAUAUAACAUUAAUAAGUUUAUCUUAUUUAAUUCACUUUGUUUAUUUCAAUUAUGACAGGAUUGUCGGAAGAAAGCUAAAGAGAUAGCUUUGAAGAAUGUUACCUCGCACGUACUAUCUCGUUCGGGGUAUUGAAAGCUUGAGCAAUCACUGUUGGUGGAAAAGGAGCAAUCUAGACAGGGGACGUCGUCUGAGAAUGUGGAAACAGGGGUCACUUCUGCUCCAUCACCACCUUUUCGCCAUGUAAAAUGGAAAAGGGCCCAAAUUAAAAAGUCGGGUGCACCAAGUUCUAAGCAAUCCGGGGUUUUCAUCGAAAAAAUUGUAAGUUAUUUGUUGUUUUUUUUCAUUUAUUUUAAAUCAUUAAUUAUAUUAAAACUAAUAUGAUUUUUGUCUCUUGCAGGAUUCCUUGGAAUCCCAAGGUAAUCCGAUCAGUCAUCCUCCUCCCCCAAAGAGAGCAAAGCAAAAAUGAAGACUAAGAUACGUGAAGAAUUAAUGGAGGAGAUGAGAAAGGAGAUUGAUCGGAUGUGGCUAGAGAUGCGAAAGGAGAAUGAUCGGAUGCAGCAAGAGUUUCUAUCGAAAGAACUUUGUGCUGAGUCGAUUCAACCCCUUGUUAGUCCCAUUCCCAAGAGCACCAAGGGGAGUUGUGCGGCUCCUACAACAUCAGGGGAGGAUAUCAUUGGGUAGAUGAGGGAAUGUGAGCUACUGGUAGCGGGCGGCAAGCUCCCUCAGGUGAUGACCCUUGGAAAAUUCUAUGAAGAGGCCACCACCUUACAUAACGUUCCUCUCUCCCCUAAUGUGACGAAGGUAACAGUUGAAAAAGUACGAGUACCUGAUGCUCGUGUUCCACUACCUUCAAAUGAGGUAACCACUGUGGCUGAUGCAUUUCAGACAUUCGUUGCCUGGCCCAUACACCUCAAUUUGAAUUAUGCCAGGACCUCAUGUAAUAAUUUAAUUUCAUUAUAUUAGUUUAUAUUUAUAUUUAUAUAUUACAUAUAAUUUAAUACAAAUGUUCUUUAUUCUGUAGAAACCUCGUCGGAAACCAAGUUCAGAAAAGAAGCAUUAGGUUCUGGUUGACGAUCCUAUAGCUUCCUUAGCUCUAACUGCUAGACAAAUUGGUCAAGAUCCUUUUGAAGAUCCCUGGGAUGAUACAUUUUUUCAAAUAAACACUGAUCUGCCACUGUACAUGUACAUGACAGAUUUAUUAGAAUUUGUAGCUGGAGAUUAGGAGUUCAAUAUAAAUAUAAUUCAAUUUUUUAUGAUGUAAGUAUCUUUACCUAUAUUUCAAUUUACUUUAUGUUAAAUUAUUAUUGAUUAUGCUUUAACUAAUAACUUGUAGGUUUUUGCAUGGAGUCUGUCUCAAUGAGGAGAAGGAAAAUGUGUAUAGAUUCUUAGAUCCUGCAUAUACUAAUCCCACUGGAGCAAAAGCAACAGAGACCCAAUCAUACAUCACUAACACCCUGAAAAAAGAGGGAAAACAAAUUUAUUUAUGCCUUUAUAUUAAUGAGUAAGUUUAAUUAUAUGUUCUCAAUUAUUAUUAUUUCAUGUUUUAAAUAUUUACUAACUCUUUUCAUGGAUAAUAUAGGCGUCAUUGGUAGUUACUUGUCUUAUUAAUGGUUGAUAAGACUGUUGUGUGGUUUUGUUCCUUACACAAGAAGAUACUCCCAAAUCUUAAGAAUAUCAUUGAUACGUAAGUACAUUAUAAACUUAACUUUGUAUGUUACUAAUUAACCAUCUACUAACGAGGUUUUUUUGUCUUAACCAGUUCAUUUGCUUGGAUAUAACAUCCUAAAAGGUCGAUCCACUUUAAAUAAUUUGAAUUGGAUAAGAAUAAAAGUUUGUAAUUUUUUUUCUUUCUCUUUUCAUUGUUUAUCAAUAUACUAACAUUUACUUUUUAUUGAAUUAUAGUGUAAUAAACAACCAGGAAGCUAUAAGUGUGGCUAUUACGUUAUGCAAUGGAUGAUUACCAUUGUAAGACUAUGCAUUAAAAGUGGUUGGAAAGAGGUAACAUGAUAUGUUAAAUUAUUUUUAUAAUUCUUGAACAUAUAUGUAUCUUAAAACUAAUUUAUGUCAACUAUAUUGUGAAAUUCACUUCUUCACGGAAGAAGUACCAAUGACUUCGGAAGCCAUAGCAUAUGUGAGACAUUCUUGGUCCAUAUAUUUCAUAAAUUUUUAUAACUCCAGGAUAGUUGAUCAAUAGUGUAGGGAUUAUAUGUAAUUUGAUUAGUGUUUGCAAUGUACAUUUUGAUCAAUAUAUAUUUGAUUCUCUGAAUUUAUGUAUUUUUCUGGCUGGGUAUAUAUAAUUGAACAAGUUAAUUUAUAUGAUAAUUAGCACUAAACAGAUUGCACUAAAAAAACACUAUUUACAAGGGCGGCUAUUAGCAUAGUUGCACUCAUAAAUGUGAUUUACAAAGGUGGUUAUUUACCAAAGCCGCUCUUGUAAAUCACAUUACGAGUGCGGCUAUGGUAAUAACUGCACUUGUAAAUGCAUUACCCCUAAACCCUGAUUCAGAAGCAUAUACAAGUGCGGCUACCAGAAAUAGCCGCCUUUAUAAAUAGUAUUUACAAAUGCGGUUAUAUAGCCGCAGUUGUAUCUCUUCGAUUUAGGAAUGUGUGCUGAUCAAAUGCAGUUAUAUAGUCGCCAUUGUUUAACCAUUAUGCAUUAGUGUUAAGACAUGAUUUCUCCUGGUUUCAGCUUAGGUUGUGUAUAUACAAGAGUCUUUGUCCGUGACGACACAGGCUAUAUGACUUCUAGCUCAAUGACGAGGUUCGUGACAAGGUUGAUUCUUAAGGAUUACAUGGACUUAAUUAGCACAAUUUAAAAACGUAUUUAAUCUUUUUUUAAAAUGUUAUCUAAAAUAGUAGUUAAAGCACCACAUUUUUAAAAAUAUUGUCUAAAAUGCUAUUUAAAAUAUCUACAAUUUUAAAAAUGUUGUUUAAAGUACUCACACUCUAGUCCACAUUUUAUAAGAUGUUGUUUAAAAUAAAUAGGCAACACUUUUUUAAAAUGCUUUGAUAUAAAGUAAAAAAUCUUACUAAGUGGGUAACAAUAAAAAAGUAUUGCUUAUACUCACUUUCGGCAACACUUUUCUAGCCAUUUUCACUCACUACACCAUUUUUUUUACCUUAGACAAUGCCUAAAAAGCGUUGCCUAAAGUAGGAAAAGUGUUGUCUUAACUUUAGGCAACGCUUUGGUAACGUUUUUUUAGGCGUGGAAUAUGCAACCGUGGACUUAGGUUUAGAUAAUGUUUUUUUGCAGUCGUUGCCUUAUACUGGUAGAAUAAGCAACAUUUUCCCAAAAAAAUUUAGGUAACGCUUUUUCUCUUAAUGUUUAGGUAACACAUUUUUAGUGUUAUUGCCACAUUUUUUUAAAUGUUGUCAUUGGUAUAAUCAACAUUUUUUUUAAAUGUUGUCAUUGGUAAAGGCAAUGCUUAUUUACAUGUUGCCUAUCUUUUUAGGCAACACUUAUUUACAUGUUGUUCGUCUUUUAGGCAACACAUUUUCAGUGUUGCAUAUUGAUAGAAUAGGCAACGCAUUUUCAGUGUUGCAUAUUGAUAAAAUAGGCAACGUUUUAUUUUUCAUAAUGUUUAGGCAACGCUUAUUUACUUGUCUGUCUUUUUAGACAAUAUUUAUGUACAUGUUGUAAGUAUUUUUUACAACACUUUUUUAAUGUGAAAACUUAUGAAAAACAUCUUAAUUUAUAAAAUUACGUUAUAUGCAACAUUUUAAACUGAUUUAAAACAUAAUUUCAUUGUAUACCAAAAUAUUUCAAAUGUGCAAGUUGCAUUUUUCAUUGUAUACAAAAAUAGUAGAAGUUGUAAUCAUUACAACUAAUUAGAGUUAGGAAAUAUCUCAAAAUUUCUACAUUUCUUCAAUCGAUCAUAAAUCUUGUGACACCAAAAUUAGUUUUUAUUAUUGAUAAAUAGUUUCUAAAUUGGUAUCUAAUUAGCUACCUAAGUUUUAGCUACAAAUUAUUUAGAUUCUAAAGUUGGUAUCUAAUUAAAUACUAAUUUAGAAAUCAUUUAUCAAUAAUAGAAACUAAUUUAGAUACUAAUCAUUUUUUUAGUCUCUAAAAUAAUAUCUAAUUUUGUCAAUUUAACAAAUAUUAUCUCUAAGAUUGAUUUAUAUAUAAUGAUUUUCUUGUAGUGUUUUAAUUACAUGAUUUGUCUCCUCAAUUUGCGUCUUAUAUACACAACUUUAAUUUAAAUUUAUUAAUCUUCAUGGCCAUCUCAAAUUUUAAAAAUGCAAAAUAGUGAAAGAAAAGAUGCCAAAUAAAUCAAAAAAACUUGAAACGAUAUGAUAGAAUUUUUGUAUGGUAGAUGACUUUAAAAAAGGCGUUAAGAUUGUUUUUGAAGCAUAGAUUACAUACCAAAUAAUGAAAUUCGAGUUAUUCAUCUUUUAAGAUAAUUUUUUUUACAGAACUGUUUAUUAUUAUUUAUUUUCCUCAAAAUUUGUGUCAUUGAUACUUGAACAAUUUAUUUAUUUACAUAUACUAUUUAUGUUUAUGCAUUUAUUAAUUUUAGUAUAUUUAGUUUUUUAUUUAUUUAUUCGUAUAUGUCUGAUGUUAUUUCUUAUAUAUUAAUAUUUGUUUUGUAUUUUUUUUCUAAUUUAAAUUUACAUUUACAUUUACAUUUAUAUAUAUAUAUAAUUAUAUAAAAAUAUAUUUGUACUUCUUUAUAAUUCAUAAAUUACAUGCUAAUUAAAUUUGUAAACAUGUUCGUACUUAUUGUUAAUUGAUUUAAAUAUUUAUAUCUUUUUAUAAAAAAUAAUAAUUAAUAUAUAAUUAAUGAACAGUGAUGAUAACAUAGUUAAUUUAAAUAUUUAUAUCUCUUUACAAAAAUUAAUGAUUAAUAAUUACUAUAUAAUUAAUGAACAGUGAUGAUAAAAUAGUUAAUUUAAAUAUUUAUAUCUCUUUACAAAAAUUAAUGAUUAAUAAUUAAUAUAUAGUUAAUAAGCAGUGAUGAUAAUAAUUAAUAAAUAUUUAUAUAUCUUCAUAAGAAUUAAUAAUUAAUAUAUAAUUAAUGAAUGAUAAGAUCAUUAAUUUUUUUUAAAUAAAAGCUUUCAUGUUAGGCAUCACUAUGUCAUUUAAGAUCUCAGCUAGGCUGAGACUUCAAGUAACAACAAUCAUUUACCAUCACAUGAAAAAAAUAUUAUUAAAUAAAAGAAAAAAGAAAGAAAAUACAAAAAUACGGGGGGACUAGACCAAAACCCUUAUUUUAACAAAAACGAUACGUAGGUAGACUAUACCUAUUCAUAAAGAAUUCUAAGAACAGACAAGGUGGAAGCCUAUUAUACCAAAGAAAAGAUUCUCAAUGAAAAAGUCCUAAAUUAGUCAACUUAUCAGCACACGCAUUUCCUUCCCGAAAAAUAUGAGUAACCGUCGAUAAGAUCAUUAAUUUAAAUAUUUAUAUCUCUUUAAAAAAUUCAUAAUUAAUUAUAGUAAUCUCUAUUUAUCUUGAAAGGGAGGACUGAUGACUUCCAACACUUAUAAAUACCUCCUUCUGCAUUGCUAAUCAAUUAUGCAGAAAAUUAAAGAAAACACAGGACACAGUGUUCACUUCUCUGCAUGAAAACUCUUCAUGCUGGUUUUUCCUCCCUAUCGCUACCUUAAUCAUCUUUUUACCUAUUGUCAUCAAUCUUUUAUCCAAAUGUAAUCACAAUUUCAAUUCUGCAAGGAUAAAAAAAACCUCACUCAUCGCAAUCUCCAAUCCUUUGCUCAAACCUAUGGCCCUUUAAUGUUACUUCACUUGGGAAGGGUGCCAGUUCUUGUGGUUUUCACAACUGAGGCAGCUCGUGAGGUUAUGAAAACACACGACCUGGCUUUUUCAAACAGACCAUAGGUUUGAACCUUUUUGGCACUAAGAAGAUGCAAGACAGAAAUACUCCUUAUCUGCUUCCAGUAGUUGCCAUAUGGAGCAAAUGCCACAUCUUUGGAACUAUAAAAGAAGAUAUCCGACAUCUUACGAUGUGGUCUGUUGGAAAAAACAAGGUCGUGUGUUUUCAUAACCUCACGAGCUGCCUCGGCUGUGGAGACCACAAGAACUGGCACCUUUCCAAAGUGAAGUAAGAUUAAAGGGCCAUAGGUUUGAGCAAAGGAUUGGAGAUUGCGAUGAGUGAGGUUGCCAACUUGGUGGAGAUUUCCUAUUAUUGGAAGCUUUAGAGGAGAUGGUGGUGAGGUUUUUUUGCUCCUUGCAGAAUUGAAAUUGUGAUUACAUUUGGAUAAACGAUUGAUGACAGUAGGUGAAAAGAAGAUGAUUAAGGUAGCGAUAGGGAGGAAAAACCAGAUUGAAGAGUUUUCAUGCAGAGAAGUCAACAUUGUGUCGUGUGUUUUCUUUAAUUUGCUGCAUAAUUAAUUAGCAAUGCACAACAAAUGCUUCUCAUAAACCAGUUUGUAUCUUGAAAUGGUGAAUGCACAAAAGAAAUAAGUUUUUAGGUUUUGUAGAUGUACAUAAAAACAAAAUUAUUUGACUUAAUGAAUAACAAUAUCAUGAGAAAAACCGAAUGGAGAGCAAUAUCAUGAGAAAGACUGGAUGAAGAGCACUAUGAUGAAAAAAACAAAACAUUUAAAUUGUAUCAGUAAAUGCAAUAUAAAGAAACGCAAAAGAGUAGAAUCAUGUUGUAAAGAGAAGCUUACCAAGAGCUCUUGAAGAGUUUUUGGCACCACUAGGAUUGAGAAGUGUAGUGCGGGAUCCAUGAAGAAGUGCGCGUAUAAAGAAUGAAAAAAAGGCUCUAAACUUCAUUUGAAAUCAAGAAUCAAUUGAGAUUUUAAAUUUGAAAUUAAAAAACGAUUAUCUUGUUUAUGUACACGGUCUUUCUACUGUACCGUAAUUUAGGCUUGCGUGUGAGAGAGAAACGGAAACACCAAUUUCCUCCAUCCAAAGCAGCUUUAGGGUUUCGUGACAGAAAAAAAGAAAUCCUAAUCCAACUUGAGAGCAUCUUGUGACUUUUGCAAAUUGUCUUCCACACAGCAAGAAGAAGCUAUGUCAGUGUGCCACAUGUGUUGUUUCUUCUUUUAGUAAAAUUGCAUUUUGAUUUUUUCUUAAAAAAAUGUGGUUGUGACAUGUGGCAAAAGUUUUCGAUUGCUCCCAUGAAUUAUAUUAAGUAUAGAAUUUUAUAUUAUUAUUUAAGUAGAAAAAUAAAAUAUUUAGACACUACAAGAGAAAAAAACCAUUUUGUGUGGGCCAAAUACGGACGCAAAAGCUAAAAAACUGACGCUUAUGCAUCGGAUUCGCGUCCGUUCCACAUCCCACGAAAAAACCGACGCAUGUGAUGAAGAAAAAAAAAAACAUUUUAUUUUGCUUUCUAACCAGAUUACCUGUAAAAAUUAAAUACCAACCAAAUCACAUUCAAACAAAUUACUAUCAUUCACAAUACAUCUAUAAACACCCAAAUCCACAAACACAUCCAAAGCAUGAAAUCAAAAUCCACAAACACAUCCAAAGUAGAAAAGCAAUAGAAAUAGUUAAACAAAAGAUAUGAAUACUUGAAAAAAUAUUACAACUAAAAUUGUACAUUACAAAUUUAACUAGAAGUAGCAAAAUGAAUCUCAUAGUGAUGUGAUAAACCUGUAAAAAAAUAUAAACAAUAUAAAUAAAUAAAUCAAAUAAUUAAAAUAUUUAGUAUAUAAUAAAAAUAUCAAAUAGUUAAACUUACAUUAUAGGAUGCACUUUAAGGAACAGGUUGAUCAUCCUGUUCUGGAUCAUACUCAUGAUCGAAUUGUGUUGUGCUAUUGGAAGUAGUUUUGUCACGUUCCAUANNNNNNNNNNNNNNNNNNNNNNNNNNNNNNNNNNNNNNNNNNNNNNNNNNNNNNNNNNNNNNNNNNNNNNNNNNNNNNNNNNNNNNNNNNNNNNNNNNNNAAGUUUAGCAUGAAGCAUUUGAUUUUUAGUCACAUGUCCAGAUUGUGAAGUGUCGGGCGCAGAGGCUUGGGUGAGAGAAGAGACUCCUUGGCGGAUGUUAGCAGCCAAGUCUGUCGUACCAUACACCCGACCUCUACUCUUUCCUCCGACAACUUCCUUCCAUGUUUGAAGCUUAGUUGCAGGAUCAAGUUGGUGGACAUCAAUGUUAGAGUCCUAAGAACUAUUUGCUUGAAGGGCCUUCAAGUGCUCAUGAUACUUUUCCUACACAGAUCAUUACAAAAUGAAAAUGUUAGAAAAUUAAAAUAUAAAUAUAAAACAAUUUAAAAGAAUAACUUACAUAAGUUUCUCGAGCACGAGAAUCAACCCAUUCACCCUUCUUAUUUGUGUGGGUGGCCAUAAAUAGUUCAUCAGGUUCUGGAGGACGACCAUAUUGACGUUCCUAAUAAUGUUGUACAAUUAAAAGCAUUAUAGGUUGCAAAUGCAAAAUGAUUUUCAUGUAAGGCAGUGACAAGUACUUAUCAAGGUAACUACAAUAUCUGAAUGUGAUUUUCUACCUGUGGAGUGCAGUGCUCCACCACGAGCUGAACUCUUAUUGGCUUUAUUUUGAGUUGAUUUAUCUUUGAAUUUUUGUGAAUCCCAAUAGUUUAGAAGUUCAACCCAUGCUUGCUGACCUAUCCAAAUAGGGCGGACAACCUUUCUCCUAGCCUUAGUCAACAUGUCACAAAGUCUUUUUUUGACUUUAGACUCGUAGACCUUUUUAAUUUGGCAUUCNNNNNNNNNNNNNNNNNNNNNNNNNNNNNNNNNNNNNNNNNNNNNNNNNNNNNNNNNNNNNNNNNNNNNNNNNNNNNNNNNNNNNNNNNNNNNNNNNNNNGAUGAAAAUAGUUACUUUGAGUCCACAAGAAAACAAGUGACUGUAGUUUGUCAAAAAUUAAAAUUACCUGAAAGUCAGUCCACCAUUUUAGUUUGUCCUCCUCAGGCAUGGCAUCAUAAUGAUGAUAUGGACCUCUAAAUUGAGAUCGAAUGCAAUGUCCAAUGGCCUCACUAGCAAAAUGAUUUGGUGUCCAACUACAAAUACAAACAAAUAAAAUUACAAACAUAGUAAUAUAAAGAUAAAAUUAAAUGUACAUUUAGGAUGACUUACCCUCUACCAAGAAGUCGGAUGAUGACCCUACCAGUAGGGUCACGCUGGACCUCCUCAGGGGGGAGGUUAUGCUCUGAAGCAGCAGUGGCACCAUGGUCAACAUGGUCAGAGAGGCCUUGCACAGAGCCAGUAGUAGUCGGGACAGAUGAAGAAGAUGUGGUGUGGACAAUGGGAUAAGGAGUAGUCUGCACCAAUGUACCAGGGGUGGGCUGCACAAAUGUACCAGAGGUAGGGUGGAGUGGAAAACUCUGAGUCUGGUGGAGUGGUUCAGGGACACUCUGAUGGUAAGUCGGAGCAGAGGAUGAUGGUCCUGGUGGUACUGGAAUACUAAGAGGACGAGGUGAUAUAGUGGGGUGUGGAUAAGCAUGCCGAAAUUCUCCUGCCCAGAGGACGAGGGGAUGGAGGAAGACGGGCUAGAAGAUGGNNNNNNNNNNNNNNNNNNNNNNNNNNNNNNNNNNNNNNNNNNNNNNNNNNNNNNNNNNNNNNNNNNNNNNNNNNNNNNNNNNNNNNNNNNNNNNNNNNNNNNNNNNNNNNNNNNNNNNNNNNNNNNNNNNNNNNNNNNNNNAAUCCUACCAUCCCUCCCUCUAGUCCUAACCAUUUUUCCUGAAAAAUUAUCUGUUCAUAAUAUUAGUAUAAAUAUGUAAUGAUCACAUGUUUUGUUUAUAAUUGAUUACAAGUAAUAUACAUUAGUCUUCAUUGUUAUCAAAAUCUGAAUCGUCAGUGUGUAUGUGAUGUUCUGAAUAAUCUUCAUUUAAGAGGUCAACAUCUUCAUCAUCGUCAUCAUUACGUGCUUCAAUAUCAUUAUCGUCAUCAAGUAGUUCGACAUUAGAUGUGUCAGCUAAACAUUGUAAAUGUUCAAUUCUUGUAACUGGUAACACAUUAGACGUCUCCUCAGCUUGAUACGGCAAUUCAUCAUUGAUGUUGUCAACUUGCACAUAUCCUCGAGGUUUUGUUUUAAUUGGAACACACCACCCACGAAGGUUUUUACAUAUGUUUGGAUAAGUGAGAUAAUAAACUUGUUUGGCCUUUUGCGGAAGAAUGAAUGGAUCAUAGGGUCCAUAUCUGCCACUUAACUUGAUUUCAACUAAAUUAUAUUGUGAAUGAAAUCUAGUCCCAACACUAAUUGUAGGAUCAAACCAUUCACCCACGAGGCUCUUAUAAACGUGCGACAUCACAAUAAUCCGUGACCCACGAGGCUCUUAUAAAUGCGCGACAUCACAAUAAUCCAAACCAGCAAUAAUCAGACCAGAAACCAACAAUAAUCCAAACCAGCAAUAAUCCAAACCAGCAACCACAACUCAAUAUCCAAAUAAAAAAUUAGUAAAAUGUGAACUUGAGGAGGAGGCAGAGCUUGAUCGGAGGUAGAGAAGGAAACGGAAGGAGAGCUACACGCGCGGAGGAAGCUUGACGUGGAGGGGAAGCUCGCGCGGAGGAAGGUCGACGCGGAGGGGAAGGUCGACGCGGAGGAAGCUCGCGCGGAGGAAGCUCGACGUGGAGGGGAAGGUCGACGCGGAGGAAGGUCGACGCAGAGGAAGCUUGAUGCGGAGGGAGAACUUGACGCAGAGGAAGCUCGACGCGGUGGAAGCUCGCGCGAAGGAAGCUGGACGUGGAGGGGAAGCUUGAAGAGGAAGCUGAACGUGAAGGAAGCUCGCACGCGAAAAUUGGGAAUUAGGUUUUCAGAGAUUUGGGGGUUUUGAAAAACUGGGAACCCCAAAAAAUUUCUAUAUACCCAAAAUAAAUUAAAACAUUUUUUAUAUAAAAAUAUUUAAAUUUAAUAUAAAAAAAUUAAUUUCAUUAUAUAACAAAAACUUUUAUUAAUUUAUAAAAAACAAUUUAAUUUAAUUUAUACAAUACAAAAAUUAAUUAAAUUUACACAAAAAUAUUUAAUUUAAUUUAUACAAUAAAUAUUUACUUUAAUUUAUAUAAAAUAAUUUAAUUUAAUUUCUACAACAUAAAAUUAAUUUAAAUUGUAAAAAAAUAUUAUUUAAUUUAUAUUAAAUUUAUAAAAAAUAUUUAAUUUAAUUUAUACAAUAAAAAAUGACUUUAACAUCUACUACCACAAAUAUCAAUGAAUCCUAUUAUUGAAAUUGCUCAUGAGACCUUCAUCAUCCCUUCUAACUUAUAAUCCAAAAUCUAAUAAUCAACUAUAUUCCAUGAUUUUAAGUUACUUCUAUAACUAUCACGAAAUGACUCAUAUUUCUCAAAUUGCUUAUGAUACUCUCUUUCAACCUUUACAAUGCACUUCUUAGUUCAACUCUUACCUUGACAAUGGACUACGGUUAUUAACUUCUUCCUGCUAGGGAGAUGAGACCUAGAAAACUAUUGAAGUCUUCGUCUUCUUCCCUCGGUCGGGCAGAUUGUUGGGUGCUUGACUGGGAUCUUUCUCAUCUUCGUGCUUCUUUCCUCGGCUCUCGGUCUAUGGCGAACACCGAUGGGGGGUACCUGCGAAGGCACUCUGACGCUAAGUCAAUGAAGCGGGUGAUCAUUAUUUUGGUAGGUGAACAGUAAUAAAUGACGUACCUUUCUUCUUGGAAUGUGUGUUGUGUAUAUUAUUUUAAUGGGCUGACCUUAUUGGGUCUGAUUAGUGGAGUGGAUCUGGCUUAGGGUUGUAUUACUUUAUCCUUAAUGACAGAUUAGCUUCACUGACCUUAGUUUCAGCGUUAACGGUAGUAUGGGUCAGCCGACCGUGAUGAUUCCACUCGUCUCGGCCAACCUUCCAUGGCACAUAACUUAUAAUCCAAAAUGUAAUCAUGAACUCUAUUCCAUGAUUUUAAGUUCAUUCUAUAUCACACCCAGUCAAAACUUACUUAUUUAUGUUACGUUUAUUAAAAACUAAGUCUACUAAAUUUACUAUGUCAAAGACCUAUUAUUUAGUAUAUUGGGAAACUAUAUUAACACACUUAUAAGGAAUAUUGCAUAUGUAUCAUCUCGUUACUUACUACAUUAUUAUGUGCUUCAGUUGGAAAACAUUAAUUUCUUUUCGAAAUCAUACUAAGUAACUAUAACAAUGACAUUUAUAGAGCAUGUAGUCAACUUUGGAACACUUUGGAUAUUGUAUCAAUCUAACAAUGAAGAAUAAGUUACUUACUCACACACUUAAUCUUAAUAUGUUUGUAUCAUAUACAUUUUCGCUNNNNNNNNNNNNNNNNNNNNNNNNNNNNNNNNNNNNNNNNNNNNNNNNNNNNNNNNNNNNNNNNNNNNNNNNNNNNNNNNNNNNNNNNNNNNNNNNNNNNNNNNNNNNNNNNNNNNNNNNNNNNNNNNNNNNNNNNNNNNNNNNNNNNNNNNNNNNNNNNNNNNNNNNNNNNNNNNNNNNNNNNNNNNNNNNNNNNNNNNNNNNNNNNNNNNNNNNNNNNNNNNNNNNNNNNNNNNNNNNNNNNNNNNNNNNNNNNNNNUAAAAUUAAACACUUCAUCUAAUUUAAAUAAAUGUUAAUUUAACUAAUUUAUAUCAUAAUUUCAAAAAUAAAAUAGUUAUAACAAUAUAUAAAUAAAAUAAAUUUAAAAUAAAUAAUUUUUGAAAUAAUAAAAUAUUUUAUAUAACAUUUAAAUAAUUUAAAUAUAUAUUUUCUUUUACUCAAUUAAUUUAAUUUAAUAAAUUUAAUUUAACUAAUUUAUAUAAAAAAUUGAUAAAUUAAAUAAUUUAUUAUAAUAUUAAAGAAAUAAUUUUAAAAUAAAUAUAAUAAAGAAUUAAAUAUUAUAAUAUUUAUUAUACAUUAAAUAAAUUUAAAUUUUAAAAUCCUAAAAAUGCGUGGGCCAUUGCGGACGCAUAUGCGUGGGCUUUGUGGCCGACGCAUAUUUAUUAUAAUUCUCUUAAAAAAAUAAUUAAAUCCAUUUGUGCGUCACUUUUGCGUCCAAGCUCAUUCUUGAGUCGGCUUUUAGCCUUUUUGAUCGACGAGACUAGCGUCUGCAAGUUGCCCACGCAAAAAUUUGGAAGCUAAUUUUUCAUUUUGCGUCCAAUGUGAUUUUUGCGUGGGCUUUUACCCAUUUUGGCCGACGAGAGUAGAGUCCGCUACUGGCCCACGCAAGAUUUUGGAAGCUACUUCUUAGUUUUCUUGUGGUGAGAAUUUGUAUUUAUUUUAGAUUUUGAAAAACUUAGAAAUUGAAUUAAUUUAGAUUUUUAUUUAAGAAUGAUAUCAAAUAAUUUAUGAUAUGUAUUUAUUUAGGAAUUUUAUUGAUUUUAGAUUUUUAUUUAAGAAUGACAUUAAUUUUUUUAUUUAAAUUUAUUUAUAAUUUUAAAAUUUUUAUUAAUUUAUUAAUUUAAUAUUUUUAUUUAAGUAGUAAAUAAAAUAAUUUAAGAUUUUGUAUUUACUCAAGAUCUGAAAAACUUAGAAAUUUUAUUUAUUUGAGAUUUUUAUUUAAGUAUGACAUAAAAUAAAAAUUUAUGUUUAUUUAGGAUUUUGAAUAAUUUAAAAAAUUUAUUUAUUUUAGAUUUUUAUUUAAGUAUGACAUUAAAUAAUUUAAAAUUUAUAUUUAUUCUGAUUUUGAAUAAUUUAAGAAUUUUAUUUAUUUCACAUACUUUAUUUAAGUAGGAUAUUAAAUAAUUUUAAAAUUUUAUUUGUUUAAAAUUUUAAAUAAUUUAGGAUUUUUAUUUAUUUACAAUUUUGAAUGAUCUUUUCUGUUCUAUGUCACGCUUUAUUAGAAAAUACUGCAACAUUUGCUUUAAUUAGUUGUGAGUUUAGGUUGGGGAAUAAAAUGGUUUGCUAAACAAACUCAAGGUCUAUAUUAUAUUAGUAAUUUUAUUCUUAAUUUAUAUAUUUUUCCCUUAGACUCGUUAUACUGAUGGUUAUACUGGAAAAAUCAGCUUGAAAAGCUUAUGAACACAAUUAAAAUAGCUUAAAUAAGUCAAUCAAUUGACACAGUACGAAUAUCAAUGCAAAGAAUGCAUUUUCCUUCUGCUAGAGUAUAAAAUUAGAAAUAGGUAGAUAAAAUUGUGAUACUUGAAUUCUACAUUUUUUAAUUAUGAAAUUAAAAAAGUACUGCAAAAAAGUUACAAUCUCCAUUCACCUAACAUAAAUUGGAAACCCCUACCACUCGUGUUAGUACAUAGUAUUCAACCAUGUAGGCUCUACAUAUCACAUAAAAAGUUAACGAGCUCCUAGUAUGUGAAUAUUUUUGUCACAAAAAUAAAAGGGAAAGGAUCUUAUAUUUGAUAAUAUAUGAUACCAUUUCAAGAGUUUCAAGGAUAUUCUGAACAUCAACCUUGACAACUUUGAUAAGAAUCUGAUUCAAAAGUUUUAAAUAGUUCAAGAGAAAGUGAUGAAUUAAAAUAAUUUUCAUAAGUAAUCAAUAUAAGAACACUAAAAAAAAAUCAGUAUUAUCUACGGAUUUUUAUCCACGAAUCUGAGUCCGUAGGUAAAUUCAGCAUUACUUACGAAUAUUACCAACAGAUUCUGAAUCCGUAGGUAAAUUCAGCAUUACCUACCAACUAUUACCCACGAAUUCUGAAUUCGUAGGUAAAUUCAGCAUUACCUACCAACUAUUACCUACGGAUCUUAUUACCUACCAACUUUUACCUACGGAUCUCUAUUACCUACCAACUAUUAUACAUAUUAUUAAUAUUAAUAUAAUAAUUUAAAUAAUAUAAAUAGUAUUAUAUUAAUAAUAAUAAUAUUAAUGAUAUUAGUAAUAUAAUAAAAUUAAUAAUAUCAGUAAUAAUAACAUUAAUAAUAUAAAUAGUGUUAAUAAAAAUAUAUAUAAAAUUAACAUUUUUUAUAAUAUUAAUAAUAUUAACAUUAUUUAUAAUAUUAAUAAAUAUUUAAUAAUAUUAAUAAUAUUUAAUAAUAUUUAAUAAUAUUAAUAAUAUAUAAUAAUAUUAAUAAUAUUUAAUAAUAUUAAUAAUAUUUAAUAAUAUUAAUAAUAUUUAAUAAUAUUAAUAAUAUUAAUAAUAUUUAAUAAUAUUAAUAAUAUUAAUAAUAUUUAAUAAUAUUAAUAAUAUUUAAUAAUAUUUAAUAAUAUUAAUAAUAUUUAAUAAUAUUAAUAAUAUUAAUAAUAUUUAAUAAUAUUAAAUAAUAUUAAAUAAUANNNNNNNNNNNNNNNNNNNNNNNNNNNNNNNNNNNNNNNNNNNNNNNNNNNNNNNNNNNNNNNNNNNNNNNNNNNNNNNNNNNNNNNNNNNNNNNNNNNNAUAUUUAAUAAUAUUAAAUAAUAUUAAUAAUAUUUAAUAAUAUUAAAUAAUAUUAAUAAUAUUUAAUAAUAUUAAAUAAUAUAAAUAAUAUUUAAUAAUCUUAAUAAUAUUUAAUAAUAUUAAACAAUAUUAAUAAUAAUAAUGAUAUUAAAUAUAUGAAGAAUGUUAUUAAUUUUUAUUUUAUUAAUUAUAUUAAUAUUGAUAAUCAUACUUAUAAAUAUAAUAAUAAUCAUAACAUGACAACAAAACUUGACUGGUGUAAUGGUUAAAGCUUCUAUGAACAUAUCUCAAGGGACUUGGCUUCGAGUUCCACCUGCUGCAGUUGAGUUCUAACGUAGUGGAAACCGGUACCAACUAACAAUCAAUAAUUAAAAUAAUUUUCAAAUAAUGUGAUUUUAUAACGACGGUUCUAGAGCCGUCGUUAUAAACAACUUUAUAACAACACCACCAAUAACGAUGGUUCAUAAAUCGUCUUUAUAUGUCUUUUUUAACCGUUGUUAAUGAAUUUUUCUAUACUAGUGAUAGUUUGGUGCACUACAAGAAAAUCAUUGAAUAAGGAAAUCAGGAUGAGAGGGAGGGAGGAUGGAGGGUGACUACGCUCUGGUGGAUAGAGGGAGGAGCAGAGGAGAAAAUCUGAUUCACCCUUAAUCAUUCGUCACCAAACUCCUGUACUAUGUUUUUCUUUUCAAAUUUUCCAAGUACCCAUGGUGAAUAUGAUAUGCUGAAGAUUUUCCAAAGAUGGGCUAGGAUGAAAGAGGUGUUCAUUUCGAGAUGGCGGAAUAGGUGGGGAAGAAGGUUUGGCUUUGUGAGAUUUUUUAUGGUGCCAAAUGAGUACAAACUGGAGAAGGAGUUGGAUCAGGUAUACAUUGGCAAUAUGAAGCUCUAUGUUAACUUGCCAAAAUACAAGAGAUCUGGGUCUUCUCAACAAGGUGGGGUGUUACUUAAGGGAGACAAGGGUAAGAAUCACCAUAACCAUGUACAGAUGCAACUGAAGGGUAAGAAGGAAUGGAGAGAGAUAAAAGGAAAAAGCCUUCAUAGGGACUGUUAUGAGAAGUGUUCAUACGCUGAAGCUGUUAGGAAACCUUCUUAGGACUCCUGGACAGGCCCAAGUAUUGAGACCUCCUCAACAGUUCUUCCUUGGAUGUCAAACAGCGCAGUAGGUCGGAUGGCUCUAGAUAUGAACUUUGUGUCCUUAAGCGAGGAGUUUAUCAAAGGAGGUAUGUCUAUGAUUAAGGUGAGAUAUAUGCGUGAUAAUCUUGUUCUCUUCACCCCUAAGGAAGGAGAACAAAUGGAAGAGAUCAUUAAGCUGAACAACAAAUGGUUUACGAGUCUGUUCGAGGAUAUUGAGCCUUGGUCUGAAUCACUGGUAGUGGGUCACAGGUUAGCAUGGGCGAGGUGCUACGACAUUCCAAUCCCCUUGUGGAAUAGGGAUUGUCUGUCUAAGGUUGUAGGCGAGGCAGCAGAGCUGGUAUCCAUCGACGAAGCUACUGAGUAGUGGGAGAACCUUGAGUGUGCACGCAUCCAAAUACGGGUGUUGAAUUCGCGUAAAGUUGAAGUUUCAAAAGGGUUUCGUAUUAAUGGCCAAAUAUACAACAUUAGUAUUAAUGAGGAGGAACCCAUCCAAGGAGGAGGGUCAUGCAUGUGCCCUGAACAUCUUUAUGCCUCUUCGGAUAGCAUUUCUUCAAUGGACUCCUUCAUUGUGGAAACUAUCUUCUCGGAUAAAGCAUUUGAGGAUGGGGACGCCAACAUCGUGGUUUCUUCCCAGCGGGGAGAGGAGGCUAAGGAGGGAAGAGAUAUUUCACUAGAGACAAAGUCGAAACAAAUAAGGGAACAUUCUCAAGUUGAAAGGGGGAAGCAGAAUAAAGAAAAUCUUUCUUGUGCAAAUGAGGUAAGGCGUGAGCAGGGGAUCUCUGUUGCUGGGGCAGCUUUUUCUGAGCAAGAGAAGGUCAACACAAUCUGUUCCUUUUUACAUAAGUCUUUGUUUGACCUGGCUCUUUGUGUCCAAAACUUUAAUCCCUCUACAACACAACCCGAUUUAGAUGUGGGCCAGUUUUCGAAAGCCCAAAUUAAUAAUAGUGGGCUGCUGGGCCUUAUGGAACAGGGGGUUCUGGGAGGAAUGGAUGAGGUGUGCGCAAGGGAAAUCGGAGGUACCAACGUCACCGGUUGGUGGAUGUUCGGAAUCGGCAACGGAGGCUUCUAUUAACUUUUAUGGAAGGAUUAUUGCAGAGCCUAAAAGUGGAUUGGAUCAACCAGAUGGUUCUCCCCGAAGCGGUGAGGAUGAAAGAGGGCCUUCGCCCCAACCUUCGCCCAACCAUAUUGGGGUUUUUGAUGAACCAAGCAGCGUGGGUAGCUCUACACCGGAGAGGAGAGGUUUGACCUUUGAUAAAGCUACACCAAGUGGGGAAGAAGGAUCCAAAACACCAGAGAAUGUGCGUAGGUUACGUGACCUUUGGGAGCAGGGCACAAAACAGUCUUGCCUGCGGUGGAGGUCCAAGGGUGGCUUCGGACCUCUUCACUACGGGAUUAACUCCUCAUCUAGGUUAAGUCACUGCUCCUUUGCUGAAUCUGUUAGUGACAUAGAACAUUGUAACAACAGGUUAAGGCUUGAGGAGUAUGUCGUUGAAUCUGCUCGUAUUUGGGAUGCGAGAAAACAGCUAGGCGUGAGGUUUUCGGGGGAGGAGGUGGAUGUUGUAGUAGAAUUGGAGUGUAUGGAGGUAUGGGACAAGGAAGUCAAAAAGUGUGCUGAGGAGGGUACCAACCAUGUUGUUUUAUGAUCAUACUCAAUCUCAACAUCAGAGGCCUAGGGGGGGUGGGGGAACCAAAGCAAACUACCUGAAACACGUUAUUGCCAAGGAGGAUGCAGAAUUUGUGUGUUUGCAGGAGACAAAAUCCGUUUCUAUCUCCGAUAGUAGAUGUUUCUCGCUUUGGGGGGUUAGUAAUAUUGGUUGGGUGCAUCAUGAAGAUGAAGACGGCGCAAGGAGCCUUUUAUCAAUGUGGCAUAAAGACAAAUGUUGCUACAAAUCGCACGUUGUAGGAUUAGGCUUCAUAUCUGUUGUAGGUCAGCAUAUUAAAUCUAGACGCACGUGUUUAGUGGUUAAUGUGUAUGCAGCUUGUAAUUAUAGAGCUAAAGUAACUCUAUGGAAGCUCUAACGUCUCUUAAAAGGUCUCAUCAAAACGUGGUAGGGUGUUUUUGCGGUGACUUUAAUGCUGUAAAAAGGGAAGAUGAAAGGAAAGGCAUUGGAGGUGGUUCUAGCCAGAGGAAGGAAAUGAAGGGUUCAACAAUUUUAUUGAUACAAACUGUUUGGUAGACAUUCCGAGUAUGGGGAAAAAAUUUACUUGGUUCAAAGCAAAUGGUACUGCUAAAAGCAGGCUAGAUAGAUUUCUUGUGUUCGAAUAAUGGAUUCAAGUUUUGCCCUUCUACAAACAAUAUGUACAACAAAGAAUUGUGCCUGACCAUUGCGCGAUUGUGGCAAAGUCUUGGGCCAAAGAUUGGGGCCCUAAACCCUUUCGUAAUAGAUGCGUGGUUUAUGGAGCCAGGAUUCAAACUGUAUGUGAAGGAGAAAUGGGGUUCUUACAUUGGUCAGGGAAAUGGUAUUUCUAGUCUCAAAGAUAAGCUAAAAUAUUUGAAGGCAGACCUCAAAGACUGGAAUAAGAAUGUGUUCGGGUGUAUGCAGACAAACCAGAAGCAAAUCCUCAAGGAAAUUAAGGACCUUGAUAUUAAGGAUGAAAGUGAAGUUCUUGAGGAGAGUGGUCAACUAAGAAGAAUGGAAUUACUUAGCCAAUUGCGGGAGGUGGAUAACAAGCUGGAUUCCCUUUCAAGGCAAAAAGCAAGAGCAAACUGGUGCAAGUUUGGGGAUAUGAACUCUAAAUUCUCUCACACGGCUAUUAGAUGGAGAAGACUUAAAAACGAAGUCAAAGGUGUGGAGGUUGGGGGGCAAUGGUGUGAGGAACCGGAAGUAGUACGUAGGGAAGCUAAGUCUUUGUUUGAGAAAAGGUUCACGGCUACACAAGAUUUUGGAGUAAAUUUGGGCUCUGUGGAGUUUAAAUGUCUCCCCUCUGAAAUCAGUACAAGGAUGGUAACAAGUUUCAUAGAGAAAGAGGUGAAAGAAGUCGUAUGGCAAUGUGAAGGUUCAAAGAGCCCAAGUCCAGAUGGAUUCAAUUUUACUUUUAUCAGGAAUUGUUGGGACGUCCUUAAAACUGACGUUAUGGAGGCUUUGCAGGUUUUCCAUGAAACCGGGGUGAUACCAAAGGGGUGUAAUGCCUCUUUUAUUGCUUUGGUACCUAAAGUGAGUGAUCCCCUUUCUCUCGACCAAUUCAGGCCCAUCUCCCUUGUAGGAGUCUUCUAUAAGAUUGUUACUAAGGUAUUAGUAGGUCGAAUGAAGGAUGUUCUCUCUUUGGUCAUUGACGAAGACCAAUCCGCUUUUCUGAGGAAUAGAGGCAUGUUGGAUAGUGUGCUUAUAGCAAACGAGGUGGUGGAGGUUAGGAGGAAUCGGAGGAGUGCACUUUGUUUUAAGGUGGACUACGAGAAGGCAUAUGACUCAGUAAGGUCAAACUUCUUACUUGAUAUGUUACAAAGGUUAGGCUUUCAUAGCAAAUGGGUAAGGUGGGUUACAGGCUGCUUGGAAUCGUCCUCCAUUUCUAUGUUGAUUAAUGGAAGCCCAACAGAGGAAUUCAAACCAUGAAGAGGGCUGAGACAGGGUGACCCUAUGGCUCCAUUUCUAUUCCUGGUGGUUGUUGAGGGUUUGGCUGGAUUAGUGAGACAAGCGACUAAGCAAAGCAUGCUUACAGGUGUGAAGGUGGAAAGAAAGGAAAUAGUAUGCAGUAUGCUCCAAUUCGCAGACGACACCCUGUUCACGAUUGCGGACUCUUUCUCAAAUGUUUUCACUAUAAAGACGAUUCUAAGAUGCUUUGAACUAGUCUCCGGAUUGAAGAUUAAUUUUCACAAAUCGAAAUUGGCAGGGAUAAAUGUGGAUAGGUUCACUUUAGAAACCUAUGCCAAGACUUUAAAUUGCAACACUAUGCGGAUGCCUUUCAAGUACUUGGGGUUGGAAGUAGGAGGUAAUCCAAGGAAGGUACUGUUCUAGGAGCCUGUCGUCAACAAGAUCAGUGCUAGACUUAGUACUUGGAAAGGGAGAUGCUUAUCUAUGGCGGGUAGAAUCUGCUUAAUCAAAUCAGUCUUUACAUCCAUUCCUCUCUUCUACUUAUCCUUCUUUAAAGCCCCGGUAUCGGUCUAUAACAGAAUUACGAGCAUACAAAGGAGAUUCCUGUGGGGUUGGGGCAGAGAUAACAGAUCCAUACCUUGGGUAAGCUGGGGAAAAAUCUGUAAACCUCUUGAGGAAGGUGGUUAGAAAUUAAAGACAUCAGGAAGUUCAACUAUGCCCUUAUGGCGAAAUGGAAAUGGAGGUUAAUGAGCGAAGCGAAGGGGAAAUGGAAAGAUAUCUUGGAGUCUAAAUAUACGGUGUUAUCUGGUGUUAACCAUGUUCGGUCUUGUUGCCAAUCCUGGUGGUGGAGAGACUUAGAAAACAUAUGUAGGGAGGGUUAUGGUGUAGGUUGGUUCCAACAAGCUGUUGCAUGGAAUGUCAGAUCUGGGGACUCUGUACACUUCUGGGAGGAUCCUUGGAUUAAUAACAAUAAUCUUAAGGAGUUAUACCCUAGAUUGUUCUCUUUAUCCCUGAAUCAAGGGAUGAUGGUGGGUGAGGCUGGAUUUUGGGAUGACUACGGAUGGCAUUGGCACCUAGAAUGGAGGAGGGAGAGAUUCAACUGGGAGUCAGUUUUGGAAGUAUAAUUAUUAACAACCUUAUCUAGGGAAGUUUUGAACAAGGACUCCAAGGAUAUUUCAUUACUUGGAGAGGGGACCCUAAGGGGUUUUUUUUCUGUGAAAUUAGCAUAUGGCCUCUUAACCAACCAAGGGUCCGGCCCAGGUAAUGCUGCUUUUAGCAUGCUGUGGAAGGUCAAAGCCCUACCAAAAGUCCUAUGCACAGCUUGGAAAAUCCUUUUGGACAAAAUCCCGACAAGCCAGAAUCUCGUGACACGAGGAGUCGUGGUGAACUCCCCUCUUUGUGUCUUUUGUAACCAGUCAGUGGAAUCCACCCAGAAUUUAUUCUUGGAUUGUGGUUAUGCUUAUCGUGUUUUGAUGUUUUGCUAUAGAUGGAUAGGUGUUCUGGGUGCACAGAACAAGGACAUUUGUAAUCAUUUUCUGAAUUUCCACUUACCUAACUUGUCCGAGAAACAGAAUUUGGUAUGGAAGGGAGUAUGGGCGGCGAUUACACGAUGCAUAUGAGAGCAUAGAAAUAAUGUGAUUUUCAAACAAGGCAUUCCUGAGGAAAUUCUUCAAGCAGCUCAACUUCUGUCAUGGUCCUGGCUCAAACAUAGGGAAGGUUCUUUUUCUUACUCUUUCACGGACUGGCUUUUAAAUCCUAUCCAGUGUCUUUUAUGUGUGCGCUGAGAAUAUUCUAGUGCUUCUGGGAAAGCUUGACGUCCAGUAUGCAGGGUAAUAGGUCAAUUAUUGUCUUCUUGGAUAUGCUGGAAUUUUGUCACGAAGGCUGGGCAGUAUAUAGCUGUAUCUGUUUAGAAGUGAAAUGCGCUGGUUUGUGGCUGGUUUGAAAGAUGCUGGUUUGUGGCUAUCUUGAUGCAGGUUCCUUCACGUUACUUGAAGCUAAGAAGUUAUGAAGUCCAGUAGGUUCCCAAUAGGUAUGCGUGGAAGUUAUGGUGCACCUGUGUUUCACUCUGAAGAAAUGGAUGUUCCAAAGUUUAGUCAGGCUUAACAGAUCUGUUUGCAUAGCCUUGUCAUGAUGGUAAUUGGAGGAGAGUUGGCAGGUUCUGAAUAUGCUUGUUUUGUCUUCUGUUGAUUCUAGCUUCAAUAUGGGGAUGCUGUCCUGGUACAGUAGGGGGUGAUAGGCAUUUAGUACAACCUCUGGUCUAUGCAGGUGUGAGAUUAGUAAUGGCAACCAUGUGGAAAGGUAUGGUUUGGAAAUAGGGUUUGAGCAUUUAUAUGGUAACUCAAAUGUGGCAGUAGCUAUGUGUGCGUUCCAUACAGAUAUUGGGGCAUAGGAGAAAAUUGGAGUGAAAAACUGGAAGGGCCUAACUCUAGUAGAUCUGGUUUGGUGUUGCUUGGAAAACCCACAUUUAUCUUUUCAUGUUUUUAGCUACUAGUAGUUUUGUAUAAGGGUUGGGACACCCCUGAAGUGUCCCUUUUAAAUUUAAUUAAUUCAUUGCCGAUAAAAAAAAACAAAAAAAUCAUUGAAUAGAAACCAAUUUUAGAAAAAAAUAAUAAUUAGUUGUUAUAGUGACUAAAUUAGAGACCAUUUUAGAGUCUAAAUUAUUUUUUGAUUUCUAAAUUAGUCUGUAUUAUUUAUUAAAUAAUUUCUAAAUUGGUAUCUAAUUAGCUAUCAAGGUUUUAACUACCAAUUAUUUAGAUUCUAAAUUUGGUAGCAAAAACCUUGGUAAUUAAUUAGAUAUCAACUUAAAAAUUAUUUAACAAUAAUAGAAACUAAUUUAAAAACCAAUUUCUUUUUAAUCUCUAAAAUUGUCUCUAAUUUAAUCACUAUAACAAUCAAUUAUUUUUUGUCUUAUAAAAUAUACUAUAACAAUAUAUUCCAUAUGAAAGCUGAGAAUAUAAUCCCUUAUUUUUAUUCUAAGUUAUUAUGUUUAUCUUUUAACAGUAACUUCUUAGACAUCAUAGGAUGCAAUUGCUAUGAGAGGAAAUUCUCUAUGAUUGCUCAACCCAUUACUUUCGUUGAUGUUCAACGUCUGUUGCCCCACCUCUCCACCUGGAACUUCCCAAUUAAAUUGGUGAACAAGGUUUGCCACGACCAACUCAAUCACAUUCGUCACAAACAUUAUUCCUGGACAACCCCUCCUUCCUGCUCCAAAUGGUAACACUUCAAAAUCAAGUCCUUUCACAUCUAUUGAACUAUUUAAGAAUCUCUCUGGCUCAAACUCUUCAGCUUUGUCCCAACAAGAAGGAUCUCUUGCAAUUGCCCAAGCAUUAACUACUACUUGUGUGCCACUUGCAAUGUCAUAGCCCAUCACUUUGGCAUCUUCUCUGGAUUCCCUUGGAAUCAACAAGGGAGCUGGGGGAUGUAAUCGAAAAGUUUCUUUAAUCACUGCCUUCAUAUAAUGCAUACUAGUUAAAUCUUCCUCAGUUAUGCGACUUCUGCCACCAACCACAUUCCUUAUCCCAUCGCAAUUGGGUACCUUAGGAGUUCUGUCAUUAUCCAUCCUAAGAUUGUGGCGCUACUCUCAGUGCCUGCGGCAAACAUAUCCUGGAACAAAUACCCAUUGUCAGUUUCAUUGUCUACCUUGAAUUUCCAUGAAUGGAAAUAAACUCAACAUUUAUUAAGAUUUUGUGCAACUAAUAUGCGACUUAACUUUUUAUAGAAAAGUAGUGUGUAUGUGUGGAACAUUGAAAAGAAAUAACUUUUGUACAACAAUUGUACAAGAAAAAUAUUUGAAAACUUGUUGUUUAACUAUUUGCAACAUAGACCCUAUGACAAGUGAAUUUCAUGUAAAAUAAUUUAAAAGCUUAAUUAAUUUUCAAGUUCUUGAGAAGUUUGAGUAUUUUUAAUUGAUUCGAUUGAGUACUCAAAAACUCUAUAUUUUUCAAUUGAUUUUCCAUUGUUUAAAUUUUUUGUUAGGUAAGUGAUGUAUUAAUGUUAACAUUAAGUUAGAGUUGCACAUGAAGAUAGUGAAGGACAUCUAAUAAUGAGACAUAUUUUCCGGAUAUCCAAUAUAAGGUGACUUUUUAUUGUUUUGGUUCAAAAUGACAGAAACAACUUGUUUGAAUGAUAUUGAAAAGAAAGUGAAACGAAAAUGAAGAGAAAAGAAAAUCAAAAGCCUAAAUACAAUGUUGAGAAACUAUAGAAUAAAUGGUUGAAGUUGUGGGUGAAGGUCAUGAAUAAUAAAAUACUUACAAUUAACUUUCUUAUAGUUGACUCUAACCUUUAUUUGGUCGCUAUUGUUUCAUUGUUCAACCUCACACUUGUUCUAAGUCUCUCAAUAUCAUAUUUUGAUUUUGCUAUUUUUUUUUUUGUCUUUGUUUUUCAUCAACCCAUAUUAUGUUAAUCAUCAAAUUAUGUCGUUUAAUAUUAACAAAAAAUAAUAUGUCAAAGAUCCAAGUCUAUUAAGAACCGGAAACUUCAUAUCUUUUAAUAAGCACUUUGUGACUUUUGCAAUCCUCCUUACAAGCACUUUGUGACUUUUGCAAGUUGUCUUCCACUCAGCAAUGAAGAAGUUGUGUGAGUGUGCCACUUGUGUUGUUUCUUCCUUUAGUAAAAUUGCAUUUUUGAUUUUUUCUUAAAGAAAACUGGUUGUGACAUGUGGCAAAAGUUUUCAAUUUCUCCCUUCAAUUAUAUUAAGUAUAAAAUUUUAUAUUAUUAUUUAAGUAUAAAAUAAAAUAUUUAAAAUUUGUAUUUAUUUUAGAUUUUGAAAAACUUAGAAUUUUAAUUAAUUUAGAUUUUUAUUUAAGAAUGACAUCAAAUAAUUUAGGAUAUGUAUUUAUUUAGAAUUUUGAAAAAUUUAGGAAUUUUAUUGAUUUUAGAUUUUUAUUUAAGACAUUAAAUUUUUAUUUAUAUUUAUUCAUUUAUAAUUUUGAAAAUUUUAUUAAUUUAUUAAUUUAUUAAUUUUUAUAUUUUUAUUUAAGUAGUAAAUAAAAUAAUUUAAGAUUUUGUAUUUAUUUCGGAUUCUGAAAAACUUAAAAAUUUUAUUUAUUUGAGAUUUUUAUUUAAGUAUGACAUAAAAUAAGUUAGGAUUUGUGUUCAUUUAGGCUUUGUUUGGAUUAGGGAGUGAAAAGGAGGGAGUGAAUUUGUGAUGAUUUGAAGGGAGAUUGUAAAGAAAGUUAGGGUGUUUGGAUUAAGGUAAAUAGAGUGGAAAAUAUGGGGAAAGUUUAUAAAAGUUUGUGAAUGAUGUGAUGGAUGUGAUUGAAAUUAUAUAUUUUUAAAUUGAUAAAAAUGUAAGUUUACAAAUUUAUCCUUAUAUUUAAAACUGGUUAAAAAUUAAUUUGAUAUAUUUAUUUAUAAAUUAUAAUUAUUUUAAUUAAAAUAUUAUUUAAAUAUUUAUAAUUAUAAAUAUUUGAUAAAAAUUUAUUUUUAUAUUAAAUAAAAUUAUUAUUUUUAUCUUUACUUUUUUUAAUUAAUAUAAUUAUUAUUUAAAUUUAUUUUUUUAAUUAUUAAAAUAUAUAUUUAUUUUUAUAUUUAUAAUUUAUUAUAUAUAAUAUGAUUAAUUAUGUUUUUUAUAAUAAUUAUUUUUUUAUAAUCUUUAUAUUUUUAUAUUUAAAUGAUAAUUAUAUUUUAAAUAAAAAUAAUAAUACUUUAAAUUUAAAAUAAAAAGGAUAAAAAAGUAAAUUAAAAUUAAUUAAUUAAAAUAUAUAUAUUUGCAAAUAUUUUAAAAGUAAUAUGAAUUUGGACAAUUAUGAAUUGGAUUUGAGAAUUUAGAUUUUUUGUCCACCCUUAUGUUAUAUUUUAAUAUUUUAAGAUGAUGUUUGGUUAGAGGUCACCAUUUUUAAAAGAAAAUUGAAUGAAGUUAGGUCAAAGUCUCAACAACAAAAAAGUAUAACAACUAUUAUGAAUUCUAGAACUAUAAACAUCCUUUUCAUCUACUUAAGAUUCCAAUUGGAGCAAACCAAGAAAUAAGGGUGUUUGGGUACUAAUGAUGAACAAAUAAAGAAUAAAUUAUUUUUAUGAAAGUUCAAAUGAAGAAGGUGAUUGAGAAUCAAAGAUUUAAAACACUUUAAUUUGACCAUACAAAUGGAGGUGAAGAAUGCUAGUAAAAAAAGGAUAAUUUAUAGUUGAAUAUGGUUAGAUAGGAUGGAAGGAAUGAGAUGACAUAUUUAAACUAAGAGGACAAAGGAACGAAUGGAAAAAUUUUGGUGAAAGGUAACAAAUCAAUUCAAAUUUUGGAAAAAGGAAAGGGUGGUUGACUUCACAAUAGGGUGUUUAAUGGUUCAUAACAAAAGGAAAUCACAACGAGGGAGAUGUUAAAAUUGUUAAAGGAACGAGAGUUGGAAUUCAAGGAGAAACUAGUUUGAUUUUACAAUAGGUACAUGAAGUGCCCCAUAUUAUUUUUCCAUAAAGAUAUAAAGAAGGAAUAAAACAUAAUUGGAUAUGAAAAGAAGACAUAUUUGUGUUUAACAUGAAAACUUUUAUAAAAAAAAAAUACAUGUUUGCAACUUAUGUGGUCAAAUUUGUAUACAUAAUGUUACAUAUGUACUUGGAUUAACAAGAUAGAAUACUAAUAUAAGUCCUUUUAGAGACUAUUACAAAGGAUAAAUGUCUCAUCAAACAUUGUCAUCUUAACUUGGGAGAUUGAUAAGAAACAAAUUAACAUAUUAAAUACAUAUAUCGGUAUAAGAAUACAUAUAUCCUUUCUGCAAUAAAAAAAAAAUAAGAAAUUGGCAGUGUUUUUACAAAGUAAUCUUAUGGGACCUGAGUAAAUGAGUUUUAUUAUGAUAUGAAGAGUGUUAUUAGGAUGAGAAAUUUUGUGAAUGAGAAAACCCACGACCACCACAAGGGCCAUGGAACUUGGGGUUGACUUUGUCAUUGGUGGGAUUCGAAGGUGACCAAGAUGUGAGAGUGACAAUUGUAGGAAAGCUGAGAGGAUCGAGUUGAUGAUGACAUUCAAGACGUUCUUCUUGCACUAGAAGUAGAGCUUCGAUUCAGCCUGGUGGCUCAUGGUAUGCUAUUUGACUGGUUAAAGGCAGAUGUAGGAGCUAGAAUGGUUAAAGGCUGGUUUGGCUGGUUUCAUGCUUCUAAGAGCAAGAAAGGAAGCUUAAGUCUUGAGUCCUAUAAGAGCUCACGUAGCUGGCACUGCCAAGGGUCUAACUCAUGGGUUCAGAGGCAUCAUGUGUCUACAGGCAUGAAGGGUAUCCAAACUAGACUGUGAUCCUGUUUUGAUAAUAUAUGCAGUAGAAUUUUAAGGCCUGGAUGGUGCUAGAAUGGUGAUGUAGAAUGCUGGUUUCGCAUUAUAGUGCAGUAGAUUUCUGCUAUUGUUCUUAUCUGGUUUUGGUUGCUGUCAUAGCCAUCUUAGCUUGAUGCUAGUGGUCCGUUUGGAUGUUGCUCUAAAUGGCUCCAGUAACAGGUUUCGCUUCUCCUGCAGGUCGUAAAGCAGAUUGGAUGUAGAUGUUUCCCAGGAGCUGGUAUAGACUUGUUAACUAGCUUUGGGUUUUUUCCUAAGCUAUAAGGAGGAGAAAUCUCUUUUGUAUAAAGGUUGGGAUACUCCUGAAGUAUCCCCUUUAAAUUUAAUUUAUUCAUUGCUGAUAAAAAAAAAGUAGAGCUUCGAUCUCUUCAACUUUAUAAUGAAUCGGUUCUAGACAGAAUGGAGGCAACAAAAGGAUCAAAAUCAGGAGGGAACCAUCAAGGAUGGUUUCGAAGUGAUAUUCAACAAAUAUAGGUGCAACAACCGCAGCCAACGCAUCCACCGUGCGUUUGAUUUCAAUUUCUUUAUCUAGGCCCGAGUAUGAGAAGAAAAAUAUGUGUGUAACGUCUGCCAGAUCGGCGAUGCAGAGGUAAGACCCACCAUUUGGGUUAAAAUUGGAGUGGUCAUGGACACUAGAAGUCAUGCAACCACCAAAUUAUCUUGUUGUUUGUAAGAGAUGAAGGAAGGAUUGGAACUGACAAUGUCAUCAGCAGCAAAGAGGCAGCGCGAAGGAACGUUAGUUCCGUCAAGAAACGAAGAAAGCAGCAACCCAUCAAUAAUGGCAUGAACCUGUUGUUUCCACAACAACAAAAUUUCGUCAUCCAGUUUGAGCGGAAUAAGAGUAGUAAAGUGAUGCAGAGAGACAGAGGAGCUCUUGGUAGAGAGAGUCUGGGUGGACGAAGAUGAUGGUGGAGAGGAAGGAGCGGGAGCCAUGAAAGAAAAACGAAGAAGAAAAAAAAGAAGAAAACUUUCUAGCUCAUGAUACCAUGUUAUUAGGAUGAGAGAGAGAAAGGAGAAAAGUUCUGAUAUAAAUCUGAUAUAUGUAAUUGUGUUAAUAGAGUAGUUAUUUAUACACAGGAUAACAUAUGGGUACCCUUAAUAAAGAGAUCUCAAUUUUUUUAUUCUUCUCAGUCUUUCAAACUUUUUUAAUUUCUUGGUUAUGCAUCCAUCACAGUCUCUUGAUGGGUAUCAAGUGAGAGAGAUUCACCUGCAAAGAUACUCCAACCAUCAAGUUAGUAACAAAAUUACAAAGUAAAAAAUAUUAGGAUUCUGGUGAUACUUGUGUCCAAGUUAGCUAUUUAUACUGUUAUGAACUAUCAUUAAGGCUUACUUUUGACAUUCUUUUGUUAACCUUUGAAGUUAGUAACAUGAGAUGUUGUAUUCUAACAACAUGCCGAGAGAUCAAUCGGUUUAUCAUUUUAUUUGACAUAGAUUUCAAUACAUGGAGAGGCCGACUUGUUCAUGCAGUAAUAUAUUUUUUUAUGUAAUUUCUCUUACUCUAUUUGGGUUUAUGCUAUGCUAUGAUUGAUCUAGCAUGUGCUUGCAUAAGGAUAACAUUUCACAUUUUCUAUAACAUUCUUGGUGGUCAACAAUCUAGCUCCACAUGAAUAACAUAAAUUUUUAGAGAACGAAGAGCCAAAUAUCAUUCAGGUUAUUGAUCUUACUAUGAGGUAGUAGACAGAUGCAAUUGUAUAGGACAUUCACUAAAAAUAGUAAUGAAUCCUUGUAUGCUUCGGAACACUUUAUAUAACUUCUUACAAGCGAUUCAUCCCACAAUUUUGAAGGCACCCAAAACUCACAUAACUGAAUGAAACACAUCAAUGAUUUUAUUUUUUCUGAUAACGCAGAAUUACUAAUUACACAACUUACUUUCUUUUUAUGCCUGCAAUCUUAUUUGGAAUACUUCACUUCUUAAUAUACUAUAUACGAGGAGAUGCAAGUGCCACAAGAGGUAGUUUUCUAUGAACAGUUAAUCCAGUAGUUUCAGACAUGCAAAAUGUCUGGUCCCCCACAUCUCCAUCAGGCACAGUCCAAUCAAAUUGGUGCACAAUGUUUGCAAGAACCAACUCAUUCACAACCAUGGCAAAAGCUAUUCCUGGACAACCCCUUCUUCCUGCUCCAAAUGGAAUCAAUUGGAAAUCAUGUCCUUUGAUAUCUAUUGAACUAUUCAAGAAUCUUUCUGGUUGAAACUCUAGAGGUUGAUCCCAAUACAAAGGGUCAGUUGAAAUUGCCCAAGCAUUGACUAGUACUUGUGUGCCAAUUGCAAUGUCAUAGCCCAUCACUUUGGUGUCUUGCAUGGAUUCCCUUGGAAUCAAAAUGGGAGAUGGAGGAUGCAGUCUAAGAAUUUCUUUAAUCACUGCUUUUAAGUAAGGCAUGUCACUCAAAUCCUCCUCAGUUACGUGAUUCUUAGCCCUAGCCACGCUUCUCACCUCAUCUUGUAAUUUUUGCAUCACAUUUGGGUGUCUCAAGAGCUCUGUCAUAGCCCAUUCCAGGACUGCAAGGGUGGUAUCAGUUCCUGCACCAAACAUAUCCUGAAACCAAAGAAUCAAACAUCAAUACAUAUAUGCUUAAUAAUUAAUGACUUCAUUGGUAACUAUAAAUCGUUCAGAUUUCUAGGAUAGUUAUUAUUCAAAUUAUCAAACUUGUUACAUGUUAGUUUAUAUUUUGAUGAUAAUGUAAGAAAAACUUAUAUAUAUGCCAUUAGAAACCAUCUUGUGUCCUGUCAGAAUCACACAGUACAAGGUAAAACCAGACAUAGUAUGAAUACAUAUGUUAUUAUCAGAAGUUUAUGUUAUGUGAGAUAAAAAAGAGCAUAAAGAAAGAAAUAAAGGAUUGCAUUGCCUUAUUAUAUUCAGUAUGAAAAUCAACUUUCAACCCAAGAUGGCAUCUUAAGAAUUUAACAGAGAAGAAUAAGACAAUUAAUUGUGUUUAGCUUCUGACUCUUUCUUUAUGUUGUAUUUUUCUUUGUAAGAAAUCACUUUUCUAUUCAUUGAUGUGGUGGUACAAGAGCCACAUGAGUUUUCAAGUCCUUUUUGACAUGUUAAUUUAAAAAUGUUAAAAAAUGAACAAGAUCUGACAUCAUUGUUCAGUCAGUUUCUCUCUCCUACUCAUUGGGUCCAACCCUUGUCCUCAUUCAUCAAUGCAAUCUUUUAUUAGUUAAUCUUUUAUUCCGUUUUUUUUUUAUCAGCAGUCUUUUACUGCGUACAAAUCUAAGCUUUUCAUAACAAAUAGCAGAGUCCAGAUCUUUAGUUUUGUGGACGAAACUACACCAGCAGCAUGUAGUAGGUAUGCAAUUUAAAAGAAGGCAAAACAAAUUAAUUUUUAGGUAUUAUAUUUUUUAUUUAAUUGUUAAUUUUAAAUUCAAAAUACCAUUAAUUUCUCUUUUAUUAUUUAUUGGUUGAUUAUUCACCUAAUAUUUAAUUAUAUAUAUAUAUAUAUAUUUAUUGUAAUGUUGAAUUAAAAAAUAUAAUAGAAAAAAUUUAAAUAACUUAUAAAUCUCUUAUAUAUAUGAUCAAUUUGUAUUUUAAGUAUCUAACUAAUUUUUACUUCAAAUUAGAUAUCUGUAAAUUAAAAACAAAAUUAUUUAAGGCUUUUAUGCCUAUUUAUUUCUAUUAUAUAUGUAUGUUUUUCUUACUAAGAUAAUCACCAUAUAACAAAAAAUCAUAUAAACUUUAUUAUGAUAAAAAAAAAAUAAGUUAAAACACCAAAAUAAAAAGAUAAAAAUAUUACAGAGAUCGUUUAAAUGAGUUAAUAUAAUGUUAUCAAUUAAAUAUAAAUAAAUAUUUUUUUCAAGGACUUCAAUUCAAAAAAAUUAAAUUAUUAAGUAUUUAUUUUAAGAUAAACUAUUAUAUAUUAUAAAAAAAAUUCUUAUUAAAGAUCUCAAAUUUCUUUAAACCAAAUAAUUUUUAUUAAAAAUAAUAAAAAAUUAUAUUUUUUAUUUAAAGAAACUUUACACCACCCUUGAAAAGAUGAAGUGGGGAUAAUAUUUAAAAUAAAGACAGUUCGACCAUCUAUCUUGCAUUUUAUUAAUAUUCAAUUAUUUAUGAUUUUGUUAAUCUUUUUUAUUUAAUCAAAUUAUUUAGAUGGUGAUAUUUUGACAUUUACUAAAUAAAAAAUAUUCAUUUAUUAUAUUAUUAAAGUAGGUUCACAUUUCUUAAAAAACUUACAUCUAAUUUAUAAUCCAUUUUAAUAAUAUAAUAAUAUAUAUUAAAAUUUUAAAUUAAAAAAUAAAAUAAAUAUAAUUAAAAUAUUAUUAUUUUGAAUCGUCAAAAACAAGUGUGUUUUAUGUGGUCACCACUCUAUUAUUUAUCAUAUCCAUACUUUUUUUUCUUUUGUUUCUCACUUUCUGGUGAUGUAGGACAUAUAGGUUGAGAAAAAUUUUAUAAGCUUAAGAUCAUAAUUAAUUCAUUUAAAAUGCACUGUUAAUAUAUUAACAAUCAUACAUUAUAUUACAACUACACUAUAUUACAAUUAAAAAAAAUAUUAAAUAUAAAUUUCAUAAAAAAAAUAAAAAGUUUGAAAAUUAUAUUAUUUCAUAUCACAAUUAUAAAUUGACGCAUUCUAUCAACAUCCAUUAAAAAGAUUCGAUCAUGACUUCGUAUUAUGAUAAAACAUGUAUAAAAAUCACAAGAACUGACAACAUUUUUCAUUCAAAUUAUAAACAUGCCAUUUAUCUACUAAAAUGUGUAAUAAAUAAUACUGAUAUGCUAGCAAAACACUCAAUAAGAACUAAUACACAAGCAGUGAUAGAUAUAUCUUACCAUGAUCAAAGCCUUCAUGAUAGUCCUAUCAACCUGAAAAUCUGUAGUGGAGCUAGUUUUCUGAAUCUCCAGCAAGAUCUCCACAAAAUCAUUCUGCUUAUCAGCAUUAACACCAUCACCAUGGCUUCUCACACCAACAUGUUCAUCAACAACCUCUUCCAAAAAAUCAUUGAGCUGUUUAGCCACUCCCUUUGCCCUACCAUACAUUCCAUUAAUUCUUCCCACCCAAUCAAGCCAAGGUAUAUAGUCCCCUAUAACCGAUGCCCCCAGAAACUCUUCCAACUGGCUCAUUGGCCCCCUAAGCACACUCCCUUCAUAUCUCCUUCCAAUAACACUCCUACACACUAUAUCAUUCGUCACAUCAGAGAGCAAAUCAGUUAAGUUCACUGGCUUCAAACAUGCACAACUCUGCAUAAUUUUCUCUAUCAUUACCACAACUUCCUCUUCCCUCACUUUACGAAAGCCCUGAACCCUUUUCGUACUCAGAAGAUGCAAGACACAGAUACUCUUCACCUGCCUCCAGUAGUGGCCAUAUGGAGCAGAGGCUACGUCUCUGGAACCAUACCAGAAGAUAUCAAACAUCUUACGAUGUGGUCUGUUACAGAACACGUGGUCUUGGUUUUUCAGAAUCUCGCGUGCUGCUUCAGUGUUUGAGACCACAAGAACUGGCACCUUCCCAAAGUAAAGCAUCACUAGAGGGCCAUAGGUUUGAGCAAAGGAUUGGAGAGUGUGGUGAGUGAGGUUGCCAAGUUGGUGUAGGUUUCCUAUUAUUGGAAGCUUUGGAGGAGAUGGAGGUAGCUUUUUUGCUGAUUUGGAAUUCAGUUUGGAUAGAAGAUUGAAUAUGGUGGGAAAGGCUAGCAAGAUGAAGAAUGCUAGCAUGGGAAUGAAGAACCACAAGGAAAUGGUUCCAUUCAGAAAAUUCGUCAUUGGCUUCUACUUCAAGAUUAUGUUCAGUCGUGGAUUUUGUAAUAAUGUGCUGUAAUGUGUUGGCUUGUUUCACAAGGGAUACAUAUAUUGCUAAAAAAAGUCAUGAUGGGAAGUUGAAUAAAGAUGCGGAGCACUUGGGACCAUAAGAUUGACUUUAUGCUUCUCCCAAUCUAUCAAUGAGAUAUGUAACUCACUCCGAGUAUGUAACCAAUCAUGAAAGAUAUAUAAGCAUGUCACUUUAGUUUAGUAAAGAUAAAAGAAAUUUUAUACUCGAUUUUAUAAAGGUGGAGUUAAAUUUAAAUUCAGUCUAGCGAAAGUUAGUUGAAUUUAUCACUAUCGAACUAUCCAUAAAUAUAUAAUUUCACACACGAGUUGAUAGUCUCAGCACGAUAAGGUAUAUUAAAGAUUACACAUCGACUAGAUAUAAAAAUAUUUUAUAAUAUAUAAUAUUUACAAACCUUAACUUUGAACCCGUUUUAUAAGUUUAAAUUACACUUCAAGUUCACUUAAUAAAUAUUUUUAUGAAGUAAAUUAAUGUUAUUUUAUCAACAUAAUCUCCCUUCCUUAAACAUUUAGGUCUUCAUCAUGUCUACUCACAUAAAUAUAAUGAAAUUAUUAAAUAAAGAUGGAUGAAUUAUUCCUUUUGUGAAUAGUCUUUUUGUUGCCUAAAGAAUAUAUGUAUUAAUAAACAUAACACGUAAAGAGUAUUUAACCCUUUUAUACAUGUUUUAUGUAACAUCCCAUAAAAUACAUCUAACUAUUACAAUACAAUUAGUUCUACAGAUUUUUACACAAACUUUUUAAAAAUAUUUCUAUUCUAAGAUGUUUACUUAUAGAAAUACAAAUAUUAACAAUAUAAGAUUUAAAAACUACAUCUUAAAGCCCUCCAGAACCUCCGACACAUAUACGAUCAUCUGCUCAUGUACAUAAUACAGUCAUCGCAGUUCACAACACAUUAAGCUAGUGAAAAUAAAGUUUUAUAAUAUACACGAUUAAAUCAAAAGAGAAAACCAAAUUACAUGGAUCAAUUUAUCAAUUAUUCAAUCUUCUUCAAAUCCCAACAUAAAACAAUCACAUAAAUCUCACAUGGAUCUACACAUCCAUGAUAUUCAACAAACAACGUCUUCCGGAAGAUCCAUAUUAAGUAAGUCCUACCAGAGACUAACACCUGAUCCAAAAAUUACCAAGAAAUCCAAGAGAAAUGAUUAGGGUAAGUUCAAUACAAUCCAAGUCGUGUAUCUCAUAUGUCACGAUGUACAUGAAAUCCUCCAUCAGCUUCUCACCACCCCACCUGAUAUGUCUAUAUGACUUAGAUCAUCAGUGAAGCUCGAAGAUCUCCGAUACCACAUAGACAUCAAUACUUAAUACACAAACAAACAUUAGUCCAUACAUUAUCCCAAAUGUAUGAAUUCAAUUCCAUACCAUUUUCAUCAUACAGUAUCAUUUAAAACACGAUCCAGAACAUUCAAAAGUCUUAUUAACAUAAAAAAACAACACUUAAAUAUUAAACCAUCAAAAUCCAAUAUUUCUACAAGUUUAAAUAAUAUAUAAAUAAAAACACAAUAUAUAAACACGCAACAUCCCUACAAGAGAAAUUAAAUAUAUAGAUUACGUUCCCUUCACAUCCAGAUCUUCUAGCCUAGGUGCUAUUAAAAAUUUAAGUUAGCUUCCCUUACCUGAAAUUUCACUGAUAGAAAUUUCACCUCAAACAGAGGAACCACUCCAAAAUUUAGGAACCUAUAACAAGUUAUCCAAAUAUUACCAAAUUUUAGUUUAUAGUAAAAGAAGUUGAGAGGAACACUUUUCUCACUUGUCCCCAUCGGGAUUGAUGACUAAAUCACAGAGAAAAACCUAGAAUAGAAGAUCUUUAGAAUAAAAAUGAACUCACUUUGUUUGAAAAUCUGAUUGGCUAGAAAUCUAGCCUGACUCUUUAGCUACAGUAUGGCGUGAUCAGAUUUUGGAAUAGAUGAGAUAUGGGAGAGAAAAUGAAGAGAGAAGGGAGAGAUGAGAAGUUGGGAGAACUACAAAAAAAAAUAAGAAUCAUCUAUGAAUUUUUAACCACGAAUAUGAAUCCAUAGGUAAAUUCAGCAUUACCUACAGACAAUAUUAUCUACUAAUAUUACCCACAGAUCUGAAUUCGUAGGUAAAUUUAGCAUUACCUACCAAUUAUUACCCACAAAUCUCUAUUAUCUACCAACUAUAACGAAUCUCUAUUACCUACCAAUUAUUACCCACAGAUCUUUAUUACUAACAACUUUUAUCCAUAGAUUUCUAUUACCUACCAACUAUUACCUACAAAUCUCUAUUACCUACCAAUUAUUAUCAUAAUAAUUAUAUACAUAAUAUUUAAAAUAUUAUUAUAAUAUGAAUAAUUAUAAAAUUAUAACUAAUAUUCAUAAAUAAUAAUAAUCAUAGAUAUACAUAUUAUUAAUAUUAUAAAAUAAAUAAUAUUAAUAUAAUAAUAUAAAUAAUAUUAUUAGUAUUAUAUUAAUAAUAUGAAUAAUAUUAUUAUUAAUAAUAUGAAUAAUAUUAUUAUUAAUAAUAUGAAUAAUAUUAUUAUUAAUAAUAUGAAUAAUAUUAUUAUUAAUAAUAUGAAUAAUAUUAUUAUUAAUAAUAUGAAUAAUAUUAUUAUUAAUAAUAUUAAUAGUAUUAGCAAUAUUAAUAGUAUUAAUGAUAUUAAUAAUAUGAAUAAAAUUAAUCAUAUUAUUAAUAAUAAUAUUAAUAAUAUUUGUUAGUAUUAAUAAUAUUUGAUAGUAUUACUAAUAUUUGAUAGUAUUACUAAUAUUUGAUAGUAUUACUAUUAUUUGAUAAUAUUACUAUUAUUUGAUAAUAUUAGUAAUAUUUAAUAAUAUUAAUAAAUUAAUAAUAUUAGUAAUAUUUAGUAACAUUAAUAAUAUUAAUAACAUUAUUAUAAUAAUUAAUAAUGUUAUUAAUUUGAAUAAUAAUAAUAUUAAUGAAAUUAAUAAUAGAAAUGAUAUUAAAUAUAUGAAAUAUAUUAAUAAUAUUUAUAUUUUUAAUUAUAUUAAUAUUGAUAAUCAUUUUAAUAAGUAUAAUAAUAAUAUCAUGAUAACAAAAUUUGAUUGGUUUAAUGGUUGAAGAUUUUUUGGUCAUUCCUCAAUAAACUUGGUUUCGAGUCCCAAAUUGGGUUCUUUUUAAGAAAUUCAAUGAAAAUGUUUUUUACUUUUUGCUCUUGAAAAAUUGGCAAAUUGAACUUAUAUUUGCUACUAUCAAACAUCAAUAUUUUGUUCUUCCAUUUCAAACAUAGUCAAAUAUCAAUAAUUCAAUUAAAAUAAAAAUCAAAUAUCAAUAUUUUUCUAUUUCAAAAAUAUUAAACAUAAAUACCGCUACAAUAAACAUAGUUGGAGCAUUGAAAUGAAUAAAAAAUAAAAACUGAUUUUUUUUUUAAUCCAACUUGUCUUAUCAUUAUCAAGUCAACAUACAAACUUUUUUUAAAUAAGUCAGCGGACCAGCCAUUCCGCCCAACUGUUUGUACGCACAAACUCAAAUUAUGCAAGACGGAUUAAAGCGGAUCAGCAGAUUGAAAAAUGAAUCCAUCCAGCAUUUUUACUAGCGGGUUAUGAUUGCCCACCCACCCACUUUGCUAUCCCUAAAAAAAUUAUGAAGGAAGGGGUGGCGGCUGCUCUGUUGUGUUUUACGGGAUUUACACUUUAUGAAUCGUUAAACUUGCAUCCUUCCUAGAACUUUCACAUAAUUACUCACUUUAGUUUUUCAAACUUUUCAUGUGUGCCAACUUAACUUUGACCCUUUUUUUUCUAUGGAGGCAAAAGUAAAACUUAAUAAAUAAUGAAUCUAUUUUUUUCCCUUCAUUCUCUUCCAAUGCAAACAAGAAUUAUUGGUUUACAAGUGUGAAAAGAUGCACAAAAAUACUCAAAUUUUAUUUAUUUUACUUUAGACUUAUGUGUUGUCUUAAUUAAGAUAUUCUAGUUGCAUCCUUUUCUCACAAGGAAAUGGCAUGGCGGCAACCUGUUGAAGUGGCCAUAAAUGUUUUGUUUCCACAUAUCAAAUCACGUCUCCUUAUUAUAACGAAUGAUUGAAGGUAGUUGUCCCCACUACGUACUAACGGAUAAGGAAGUAUCUUUUUAGUGUGUACUGUUAAGAUAUCAGCACACUGCUAAUUUAACCCAUGCCUUGUUGCACUAUUAAAAUUUUCUUCUCAUUAUUCUCCCAUUAAUGUGUUUAGAUGAAGAAAAUAGAGCUUGAAUAGGAAUGGAUUGACCUUGAGGACUGAAGUGAAAACUGUUCAAAAAAUAGAAGGUGCUUUUGCAUCUAUUAUCAAAACCCAUCUUUCUUAUUAUUGUAGUCUUUUCCUUUCUUGCACAAUCACUUUCGUUAGUAUCUUCUUCAACCGCCUCAUUAUUGACAUAUAUUAAAGAUCUUUCUUCUCACUUGUGUUCAAAUGUUACAAAGAAAAUCGUAUAUAGUAGCAGAAACUUUACCAGAAUAAUCAACACUUAAGAGCUUAGAUAACAUCCCAAAAUAUUACAAGAAUAAUAAACUUCACAACUACUUAAGAUUGUUUAGCUAUCUUUGGCAGAACGAUCCAAAGUAAGCUCAUUAAUUCAUUACUACAAUAUUGAGAGUAGAUUGCAUUAUUUUCCUUUCAAGUUAUUUUCUAUAUCUUUAACAUUCACUUCUUAUUCAUGAUGGGAUGCAAUUGCCAUGAGAGGGAAUUUUCUGUGACUGCUCAACCCUGUAGUUUCAGUCAUGUCCAGUGUCUUAUCUCCCACUACUCCACUAGGCACUUCCCAAUUAAACUGAUGAACAAGGUUUGCUAGGACCAGCUCAAUCUCAUUCAUGGCAAACAUUAUUCCUGGACAACCCCUCCUUCCUGCUCCAAAUGGUAUCACUUCAAAAUCAUGUCCUUUCACAUCUAUUGAACUAUUUAAGAACCUCUCUGGUUCAAACUCUUCAGCUUUGUCCCAAUAAGAAGGAUCUCUUCCAAUUGCCCAAGCAUUCACUAUUGCUUGUGUACCAGCUGCAAUGUCAUAGUCCAUCACUUUUACAUCUUCCAUGGAUUCCCUUGGAAGCAACAAGGGACCUGGGGGAUGUAAUCGAAAACUUUCUUUAACCACUGCCUUCAAGUACUGCAUGCUACUUAGAUCUUCCUCUGUUAUGUGAGUUCUACCAUUAACCACAUUCCUUAUCUCACAUUUUAACUUCUGCAUCACAAUUGGGUACCUUAAGAGUUCUGUCAUUAUCCACUCUAGGAUUGAGGAGCUGGUGUCAGUACCUGCCACAAACAUAUCCUGAAAAAAAUACCCAUCAACUAUCAAUUUCAUUGUCUAUACCUUGAAUUUUCCAUGAACGAAAAUAAACUCAACAUGUAUUAAGAUUUUGUAGAUGUGAUUUAACUUUUGCUCAGAAAAGUAAGUAUAUAUAGCUUUUGCUAGAGAGAUAUUAGAAAACUAACUUAGUGUUUGACUCUGCAAUAGACUCUACUAUGAAGUGAAAUUCACGUAAGAUUUCUUAAACAAGAAGUAAAACCUAAUGAAACAGAUUCAUUCACUGAAACCCAAAUGAGUUCACCAACUAGUUUUCAAUCAAAGACAUAAUUUCUAAUAUUGUAUGAAUGUUAGACAUACAAAAUUAAAGACUAAGCCACUUUGAUUUUUAAGAUUUGUAAACGCUAGUCACCUUAUAAUAAAACUUCCACCAAACCUUUUGGUUUAGUCCCUAGCUGAUUUGUGAAAUCUCUAUUACUUUUAGUGUUUUCUCACAUCAUCUUUGACUUUAAGGAUUGAACUGCAUGAUGCUUCAGCAAAAUAAAGAUUCUAUUAAGUUAGAAAGUAGAGUAGCUGUCUAGAGAAUAUUAGGAACUAAUUAAUGAGGGAUAACACAUUUGUUCUAAUCUUGCAUACCAGGAUCAAAGCCUUUAUGGUUGUUCUAUCAAUCUCAAACCCCGUUGCGUUUUGCUCUUGGAUCCUCAGCAAAAUGUCAACGAAAUCAUUCUGCUCUUCAUCAUCAUCACCAUGCACAUGACGCACUCUCCUACUUACAUGCUCAUCAAGAACUUGAUCAAAAAAUUCAUCAAGCUGUUUAGCCACUCUCUUUGCCCUACCAUACAUUCCAUUAACGCUUCCCAACCAAUCAAGCCAAGGUAUGUAGUCCCCUAUAACUGAAGCACCCAACAGCUCCAUCAUCUCAUUCAUUGGCUCCCAAAGCUUACUCCCUCCUUCUCCACUGUAUCUCCUUCCGAGAGCAGCUCUACACACUAUGUCAUUUGUGAGUGUAGUAAAUAAAUAACU
rnacentral:lncRNA from 1 species